UUUUUUUUUAGUAAUCCUCCUAUCUAUCUCUCACCUGUCUGUGUCUGGACAGAACCGAUUAAGAUCCUCCAGGAAUUGGUUGAAAUAUUAAAAUUUCUCUACAGACCACGGAAAAUAAUCAGAGCCCAAUCUAUGGAUGACACACAUGAGGAAAAUAAUCUGUUACCACAGAUGCAAGCAGACAAUACCAUAAGAAUUUCAAACAAGAAACAAUACUACUACUAGUACCAGACACCUGCAGCAGUUAGCCAGUAGAUGUUCACUUACCAGCAGGACAAGUUCAUCAUUCCAUCUGAACAAGUCUACCACCUACCAGAUGCUUGGCCAGUUUGAAGCCAAACAGCGUGGAAAUAACACAGAAAUAUGAUCCUACAUGCAGUGCAUAGCAUGUCAGAUAUUAGUCAUAGGUGACAGAGAAUUUUGACUGCAACUACUCUGUAAACCGUGUAAAAAUGCUUGCUGACCUGAGCCCUGAGGGGACCAUAAAGGCACUACUACUCUGUAAAUCAUGUAAUGAUCCUGGAUUAGCUUUAGACCGUUUCAUCUAUUUUCUGGUCAAGCCUAAAUUAUCAGCAUAGAUACCAUCAAUGACAUUGCUCCAGCAGACCCUGCACAGCACAAGACAAUUGAAUAAGUUAUUUCAAGGAAUUCAGAGAUUAAGUUACGGAGUUGAAUGAGAUGCAACUAUAAAAGAAAUUGCUGUCAUCGUUGCAAGUUGUGGAAAAUAGAUGUCACAAAAACCAAAGAUUUCACUGGAACAAUCUUUACAUGGAGUAAAAGAUGCUUCCAGAUGCAUGGCAGUGCAAUCAGAAGCUUAUAUAGUGCCAAAAGCUCAAGACAGUUGUUGCAAUCUGACUUAAAUUAGGAACUUGAGAAGCCGCACGUGCUGAUUGCUAGAAUAAUGUGCUUCUUGUUAUGAUGUUGACUCGAUUCCUAGAAUAAUGUGCUUCUUGUUAUGAUGUCGACUCGAUUCCUGGAAUAUGCAGUUAAUCUCCAUCAUGUUGACUUACACUCAGCGUAAUAGCACCUGGAGGAGUAUCAACUAUCAGGUCAACUAAUUCAGCAUAGCAUUAAGUCAUAAGCCAAAACAGAUAAUCUUGUGUGAGAGAAAAAGAACAGCGUAAAAUUUUCUCAGCACGUGGUGGGAAGUGGAACUAAAUUUACAAAAUCAGAAACGGUAAUGGUACCUAUGGACUGCAGUUACUGUUGAACUGUGUUUGUGGGUUAGGCGCCAACCAAACAUGCCCUUAUUUUGAAAACAUGAAGACCUAGUCGAGACAGCUGCUACACAUAUCAAACCCUGAUUUCAUUGCGAGUAGUGAAAAGGUCAUAUAAUAGCAACAUAAUGCAUGACAGAGUGCUUGGAAUAUUUCGAAUGAAGGAGUUGUGGUGGAGUGUGCAACUGAAGGCACUAGAGUUUGAGUAAUAUUAUGGGUACUGGUCCUCUGGUAGUAAAGUAUUUGGUACUGAAAUAUCUGGAACAUAGUCCACCGAUGCGAUUGAAAAUUCAAUCUCAGUGAACAAUGCUGGAGGCGUGAAACUUGAAACAGGCGCUUGCACUGAAUGAUAUUAUGAUACAGCGCCAAAUCACAGUGAACUUCAAACAAGCAAUAUUGCACAAUGUAUGCGAAGUGAAAGGUCGUGAGUAAGCAGAAUUCCAACAGCAUGUUGCAUUAAUUAACAGUGUUGGUAGUAGCAACGGAAAAUCAAUCGCACAUAGUGAUCCCAAUGGAAUGGAAAUUACGACUACUAAGCAUCACGGGCAGUACCGCACUAGGUAGUACUAGUAGUCAUGUACAGAAGAAGAAUGAUGGGGGGAGUCGAGGUCCCCAAGGGGAAGGGAGACCGGCGCCGGGUACCCGGGCAUCUGGAACGGAUCGGAGGUCGCGGGCGCUAGGGCUUGGUGGGCGGCGGAUCUGUUCCGAGCUUGCGGCGGAUGAAGGCCUCGAGGACGCGGCGGCGCUCGGCGGCCUUGGCGCGCUGCGGCUCGAUGUUGGCGUAGGAGAGGCGGGCGGCUGCGACGAUGAGCGCGACGCCGGUGAGGAAGAGGCCGGCGGUGGCGGCCCGCUGCGAGCGGGUGGCCGUGUACUGCAGCCAAACCAUUUCUGCCCGCCGCCGCCGGUGGACUGGUGGAGGCUGGAGCUGCUGCGGGAGGCGGCUGCGUGGGGGAAUGGGAAACCGCUUUCGCUUCGGGAAGGCGUACGUAUUACCCUCUUCCCGGGCAGGCCAGGCCGUGAGAGGGAGGAGGGCAGGGCCGUUCAAAAUUCGAAAACCCAGCCAGCCCAGCCCGCGAAAGAUAGCUGCUGCUACACGCCACCCCACGCAAAAAACAGGCAGCCGCCCCCUGUUUUCGUUUCCAUCCCUGCCAACUGACGUGUGGGGCCAUGCUGUCAGUGAGUUAUCACAUCACACGGAGGGCGGGUUUUCUUUUGUUUCCACAAAAAAACCCCGCCAAACCCCACCCCUCAAGCAAUUUGCUACCGCCUCCUCCAUCUUUUCACCUUUUCCCACCCACUCCCUUUCACAGAUUCUCCAUAGCGUCGAAACCAUAACCCCAUCUGAUCAGCCUAGUUUUAACAUUUCUUAUUGUGAAACAAAUACAAGUUAUCAUCUUUGCUUCUAACAUGACCCGCUGGAUUCUAGCAGUUACCGUGUCUGUUGAUCUAUGUCAUGGCUAUCAAAAGUGAUUGUGUGUAUCUUGCUAGUCAAAGCAAAGCAUGUGUACAUAAUGCAGCCUAUGUACACGCUACCACCUAUUAAACUUUAGUAUAACAGAAUUUUUUUAUAAAGUGGAUGCAUGUCCAUUAAUAAAGAAUAUUAUAAACAAUGAUACCAAGGCUCAAGCAUUGCAUAUACCUUUCGAUUGAACCUCCUCUACUCAACACUAUCCUGUACAUCAAAACGUACACUCCUAGGCAACAUCAUUUUAAUACUUUACAGUAGUUCUACCAUGUGUUGGGCACCAACUAUAGUUUUGGGGUAGAGGAGGUGCAUGCAAAAGUAUUUCCUUUUCUUUAGUUUUGCGGUGAAUAAAAAGAAAAUGAGAUGUGGUGUACUUUGUGCAAGCAAACACACAAAGCCUCCUAACUUGUUCCACAAAGUAUAUUGAGAGUCCGUGUGGCCGCACUCUCCUAGCUCCAGCCACUGUAGGUGGCAGGAGUGUAAGUGGAGCUCCUCUUGGUUUUGUGGGGGGGAGGGAGAGGAGAGAAAAAAAAAGACUUCGAUGAACAGUAGAUCGCCAGAGGGAGCCAAAGCCAGGCGGAGCAGUGCUAAACUGGUCCUGAGUCUCUCAUCCAUGUAUAACAUUUCAGCGCAUGCAAUUACGCUGAGUUUAAAAAUAAAGUUUCCCGCCAAAAGUUAUUCUCUCACGUAGCAAGCAUCUCAUAAACCUGUAAGAAUGUGUAUAACUCAAGAUGGCAAGACGAAAACAUCCUCUUGUAUACACACACUCUCAACCUUGGUUCUACCAGUCUACGGGAUCAAAGCUACACGUGCACUUGGUUCAAAUAGAGGUCAGGUCAUUUCUGUAAAAACUCAAAAGGCACGUCAAUUUCCAAAGAGAUCCUCAAAAGUUUUGGAAGCGGAACGGGAAAAAGAUCCACGACGCGCCGGCUUAAAACGCCGGCGGUCAUUGCUGGGAGUGGGGGAUUUUACUGCAUCGACGGCGCCUCCUUCCUUCCACGGCAACACUCGACCAAUCCAUGGCGGAGGAUACGGAGGGGAUCGAGGUUGACGCGGGGACUAUGGAAGAGGUUCCCGCGGCCGUAGGCGGCGAGGAGACAAAGCGGAAGAGGGGGAGGCCCAAAGGUAGCCUCAAGAUGAAGAAGAAGAAGACGCCCAAGCCGAAAGCGCGGACCAAGGGGAGCCGCCGCACCGGCGACCAUGCCUUGGCGUCGCCGGCGAUAAGCCCCGGAGAUCUAGGGCACGGGGUGGCGGCGGGGCCUAGGGUGCUCAGGGAGAGAAGGCCGGCGACCAACGCAUUCUACGAGCGCGACACCGAUACCGAGGUGCGCAGAUUCUCUCCCCUUGACACCAACGGCUUCUUUCGGUCGGACCGGGUUCAUCAUCGUCAUCGCUUUGAGCGAUUUUCCCUUUCAUUUCCGUCUCGGAUAUGUACCGGACUAGUGCUUUUUCUUGCGCGCAUGCUCAUUUGCUUUGCGAUCUAGUUCGUCCGUUUCUGUUGAUCGCGUGACGAACUUCAAGCAUUCCACUACCACCCCCUGCGAUUUCAUUUUUAUAUUUCAAUUGACAAUGCCGAUAAGGAACGAUGCAGUUUUCUCGGGCAAUUGGUCAGUCAAUCACUUGAUUGAGAACUUGAUUGAUUUCUCAAUUUUUUCUAAAUAUUUUUUCCCUGUGUUCCUGAUGUAUGACGGAAGAAAAAGCUUAGUUUUCGGCACGCUUUCCUCCAACCCGGUUGCCGUUUCGCGGAUUCUUUGCCAGAAGCCUCGAUUUACUACAGAUAUACGCUAGUUUUGUUUCCAUUUUGGGUCCCAUUCUCUGAAAAAUAUCCCCUUACAUUUUUGUCGGAUUGAUUCUUUUGGGGGUUGAGCUUGAAUUGACCGAUUGCUAUUUUGCCUGCAGGACGAUGAGGAAACUACGGAUGAUCAAGUCAUCCAGAGGCCUAAAAGCAGUGAUUCGGGGAAGAAGAGAGGAAGGCCUAAAAGCAGUGAUUCUGGGAAGAAGAGAGGAAGACCCCGCAAGACGAAAUUGGGGCAACUGGAUAGUAAGGCCCAGUUCUCCAACGGUAAAAGCAGCGGUGAAAUGAAUGGGGUAUAUUACAUGUCAUCCUCUGCAAUAGUUGAUUUCUGAAUGAUUUUGUAGCAACGUAUAAAGGAAGAAAAACUUUACUUUUCAGACACAGCUGCCCCUUUAUCCUCUGCAACAGCUAAAUCAACCUUUAAGUUUCUACUAGUUGUGACUAUAGUUUAUUGUUUUUAACUCAAUAGCUACAAUAUGAAACCAAGUUUCCUACCCAAACAAUGGGGAACUUUGUCCUGAAAGGUUGGAAUGUGCAGUGUGCAUCUAUUCUACUUACCAACCAUUGUGCCUGCAGACAUUUGUACUCUGGUAUAACUUAGUGUCCCUGAAAGAUGUGCAUUUUAUUAUCUGAUCUUUGGUGAUGCUAGUACUCCGCGUGUAUUAGGAUACUGCAAAUCCAGUCUGUCACCUUCUGCUAGAUAUUUAAAUCAGAAUGUCACAAGCUUAGCAUUUUUUUACUUAACAGAGUAAUGCUGAGGCAUUUCAGACAGCAAAGAAGCGUAAAAGAAGAGAUGACGGGAAAGAAUUUAUCACAAAAAAGUUGAAAAACAUGGAUAAAGAGGAAAAGAAGCUCCCCUCCACCAUGGAUAAAAAAUGCAAUGCAAAUGUUAUGGUGAGCUACUCAUUUCCUGGUGUUAUGUUGUUUAUGGAUUGGUUUCAAGCUAUUUUUAUGAAUUCAACUACUGUUUAAAUUAUCUAGGUAGGGAGGACUAUAUUGACGGGGGAAAAUGCCCUCAUGUGCCACCAAUGCCAGAGGAAAGACAAAGGAAGGGUGGUCUGGUGUCAGUCAUGCAAGAAAAAGCGAUUCUGUGUGCCAUGCAUAGAACUAUGGUGUGUCAACUUACCUCAAUCUUGUUUCCUACUGAUUGGAUUGCUCAUCUAUACAUUUUUCUUGUGAUAUGACAGUUACAUAUAUGACUAGCACACCCUUUGUCCUGAUGGCCCAAUGUUUCCUACGGGCAUUAAUUUUUUUGUGCUUUACUGAACUGCUUUAGUCUAACAUUAUACGUUAAAUUGGAAGCAUUUUCUUUCUAAUGCUUUCAUUUCACUGGCUAUUGACAAAUGGCAUGGCCAUGUUAUUUCAUCUUGUGUGUUGCACAACAUUCAAAAUUCUCUAAACUGUUCUUGUAAAUAGGUAUCCUAAUUUGCCAGAAGAUGAAUUUGCUGCGAAAUGCCCAUAUUGUCGCAGAAACUGUAAUUGCAAGGCAUGCCUACGGAUGAGGGGAGUUGAAGAGGUACACACUUAGCAUCUCAUCAUCCCAUUACAAUAUUUGUAUUUCAUCUGCUUACGUUGUAUGGAUUCAAAUUAUCUUCAAGUGUCCACUGUUAGUGACUUAUCCCAUUCUGUGUGACCAGCCUCCCAAAAAGGAGAUUUCUCAAGAAAAUCAAUUUCGUUACGCAUGUCAUAUUGUAAGUUUGCUGCUUCCUUGGAUGAGAGAAUUGCGACAGGAGCAGAUGGAGGAGAAGGAAGUAGAGGCUAAAAUACAAGGUAUGGUACUGUGGCCUUGGGACAUAGACUAAUAGUUGCCGUUGCCUAAAUGCCCAUCUGGUUUCAUGAACAGGAGUUUCAAUGAAUGAUAUAAAGGUGGAACAAGCUGAGUUUGACCUAGAUGACCGUGUCUAUUGGUUGGCCUAUUUCCCUGUUUACUUUAUGUGAUAAAUCUAAUGGCUGGCAUGUAACCUGUCCUUUGCUCUAUUGCAGCAAUAAAUGUAGAACUUCUAUAGUUGAUUUUCAUAGAAGCUGCAAGAAUUGUUUCUAUGACCUUUGCCUUAACUGCUGCAAGGAGCUUCGCAAAGGUGAGAUACCAGGAGGAGAAGAGGUGAUGACCGUGCCACCUGAAGAUAGAGGUAGGGAUUAUGCUUUUGGCCAGAUUAAUAAGUCAAAAGAUGAUGAUAAAAGAGUCUCUUUGAGGAAGCAUAAGAACUCCUCGAAUGGUGAUUCUUACAAUGGCAUGGCUGCUGUUGAAAAGCCCAAUAACCAUCUGCUGCUCUGGAAAGCAAAGAGUGAUGGUAGCAUACCUUGUCCACCAAAGGAAAUAGGAGGCUGUGGUGGUACACUUCUGGACCUCAAGUGUUUGUUUCCAGAGAAGAUGCUUGCUGAGCUAGAAGAUAGAGCUGACAAAGUUCAUAGGAGUGAAACAUUUGCUAAAGCAAUGGUCAGAAGAAGUGAUCGGUGCCCUUGCUUUGAUCAUUCAGGCAAGAUAAAAACUGACAGUAAGUCAGUACGACAGGCUGCUAACAGGAAGGAGUCAAGUGGUAACUUCCUAUAUUGUCCUGUUGCUACUGGUAUCCAGGAUGAUGACCUAGCGCACUUUCAGAUGCAUUGGGCAAAGGGUGAGCCAGUUGUUGUUUCUGAUGUCCUUCAGUUAACAUCUGGUCUGAGUUGGGAGCCAAUGGUAAUGUGGCGGGCAUUGCGGGAAAGAACCAAAGGCAAAGCAGAAGAUGAGCAAUUUGCUGUUGUCGCAAUAGAUUGCCUUGAUUGGUGUGAGGUGGUAACUCUAUUCCUGAAUGUGUUUAAGUCGACAAAACUUUUUUUUGGGCAAUAUGUUCCUUUUUCUAAUAUUGUGCUGGUCAUAUGCAUCUGUCUUGUAUACAAAAGUUUCAAAUUAUGACAAAUAUAUAAGACAGUACCGCGUAGUGAUAUUCUAACUAAAGGUGUGUGCACGUUUGUGUCCAGAAGAACAGAACACACAUUAUAAUAGUAGUGGCAAACUUCAUUGCUUGAAUUGAAGUUCUCAUUUUUAAUAGGGAUAUUUAUGAGUCUCUGCUUGAAUUUAGACGUGUCUUGUUUCCUUCUUUUGCAGCCUUAUAUGCAGGCUCUUACUAUGCAUAUAUGUUGCAGGUGGAAAUUAACAUACAUAUGUUCUUUUCGGGAUAUACAACAGGCAGAGCUCAUCCUAGGACUCACUGGCCUGAGAUGCUUAAGCUAAAAGACUGGCCUCCUUCUAGCUCCUUUGACAAGCGACUGCCUCGCCAUGGUGCUGAAUUUAUUAGCGCACUACCAUUUCCUGAGUAUACGGAUCCAAGAUAUGGUCCGCUAAAUCUCGCAGUCAAGCUUCCUGCUGGUGUCUUGAAGCCAGAUCUUGGACCCAAAACUUACAUUGCUUAUGGGUUUCACAAAGAGCUAGGCAGAGGUGAUUCUGUGACCAAGCUUCACUGUGACAUGUCUGACGCGGUAUGUUAUGGUUAUUAGUGACUAUGUUCUUUUUUGUUCUAGAUGUCGUUUUAGUGCUGACUAAAAUUGACUUCAGCAAGGCCCCUGUGUAACCUGUCCACUUUCUAUAUCUUGCUCUCCCAGCAGAUGUUUUCCAUUGCCAUAUACCCAGUUCAUUUGCUGACCUAUUAAUAGUUCUUAUUUUCUUAUCGAUAUUGAUUGUGAAUGUUGUGUGAUUUAACCAGGUAAAUAUCUUAACACACACAGCUGAAGUGACUUGUCAGACUAAUCUUUGCCAAAUUGAAAAAAUCCAAAAAGCCAUGCGAGCGCAAGAUGUUCAGGAAUUAUACGGGGGUCUAGAAUCCAGCAUGGAGCUUAGGCUAUCACAAUCUCCAAUUGAAUACAGGGAUAAAGCUGUUGAUGAAGCACGUGAUAGUAGGGAAGACAAUGAUGCCAAUAAAUGCAGUUUUACUGGUCUGUAGCACAAAUUUAGUUUUGGUAAUAAUUGAGUUAUUUUGUUUUUUUAAGCUUUAUGGCAUUCCUUGAAUGCCUCAUGCAGGUUUGGAUAUCAAUGCUUUACCACCUGAUGAUUCUGAAGGCGAUACAAGGGAUGAAGUGUUAUAUCCUGAAUCUGUUUCACGAAGUAAACUAGAGCAGUGCCCAGAUCGCAGUAAUGAGGUCAACACAUCUCAUAAGACGCAUAACGGAUGCCAUUUCAGUUCAGAUGACAUUGGCAUGGGACAGCAUGGAAAGAGAUUUAGAGGUGGAACUCUCAAUGAAGUUGGCACCGAAUCUCAAGAAGAGAAACCUGAAAAGGUUGAUUGCAAUGGCACUGAUAAAAAACAAAUUUCUAAAGGCAUUCAAGAAAAAGCUGUCGUGGGGGAAGGCUCAGAGCAACAGAACACUGGUGGUGCUUUAUGGGACAUUUUUCGUAGAGAGGAUUCGGAGAAAUUACAAGAUUAUCUUAGGAAGCAUUCGUCAGAGUUCCGGCAUAUUCACUGCAAUCCAGUGAAGCAGGUCUUUUUCUUGUCACAGACAUUAAAGAACAACUACUUUUCCUUCUUACAUUUCUAUGCUGACCAACAAUUACUGUUCAUGUUAAAUGGCAGGUUAUUCACCCGAUUCACGACCAGACUUUCUACUUAACUGCAGAGCAUAAGAGAAAGCUCAAAGAAGAAUAUGGUUAGAAAGAUUAACCCCCCUCUCUGACGCCUUAAGAUCUGAAGAUGGCAUUCCCUUCUCAUCAGUUGGCUUCCUUGCUUUAGGUGUUGAACCCUGGACAUUUGAGCAGAAGCUUGGUGAAGCAGUUUUCAUUCCCGCUGGAUGUCCUCAUCAAGUGAGAAAUUUGAAGGUGUGGCAGAUCUUUACCGCCGUGACAAUCCAGCUCUAGCUUUCUCUCUCUCUCGUUUUGGUGUGGGAUCAAACAUCAUCGUUCUGACUGAUGAAACCAUCUCCAUCUGUGCAGUCCUGCAUUAAAGUUGCACUGGACUUUGUUUCCCCUGAAAACAUUGGCGAGUGUGUCAAGUUGACUGGGGAGUUUAGACGACUUCCUUCUUCCCACAAAGCUAACGAAGAUAAACUAGAGGUUAGCAUUAGUUGUGCAUUUCCAGUGAUAUGGAGUAGUAUACUGGUAUCUGAUGUGAUGACUAACCUGGAGCCCAACAUGGUGUCUUCAGAUCAAGAAGAUGGCUCUUCAUGCUCUGAACGAAGUUGUGAACUUUUUGGAUCCUUGUACCUCAGAAGGGUAAGGAACAGUGGCCAGUCAUAUUUUUUCGCUGUAAAGGUUUUGUAGCUGGAGAAAAUUUUGGUGACUGAUGACGCUGUGAUUGAUCUCGCAGGUUGGAGAGCGGGGCUGGUGAGGCCAGCAACGUAGCUAAAUCUGUUGAUGAGAAGCCACCGCCGCUGAAAAGGCAGGGCGGUCGCUGAAGUGGUGAAGUGUCGCAAGGAGACGAUCCGAAGAGUGAAGAAGGCGGUGGCAAAGGGAGCAAUGAAGCUGCCGCCGUGAAUAAUGAGCCUAAGAGGCGCUCUCGCAAGCGUGGAGGUUGAUGGGUUAAGUUUGGACUGGGGAUGAUGCAUUUUGGGAGCAGCGCUUGUAGGCAGAGUAGGUGAUGAGAGGAAUGGCGUUAUGGUGAUGGCCGGCUGAUUAGUCACCGCAGACGCCAUUAGGGUGUCUGAGUUUUGUUGAUGUACGGUGAUCGCCGGUUGGCACCGACAUGGACGGAGUCAUUAGUUAAAUAGCCACUAGCCAGUAGGUGAGAAACAGCAGCGCAGAUUGAUGGAGGAUGCUGCGGAUACCAUUCAUUCUUAAUUUCCAUCAUUCAUUCAUUAGUGCAAUGCGACUGGCCUGUAGUCCUGGUAGAGAGUUCCAUGGAUGGAUUCAACACAACUUAGUAUGAGCUAGCAUAUUUUUUUUAAGGAAAAAAAAAAGCUAGCAUCAUCCCCUUUUCGAUGCGAUGCAGAUCAACUAAAAAUUUGACAAGAAACUUCUUCUCUUCUAUCAAACAUAAUCACGUUCAUUCCAGGUCAGCCACCACCUGUCUGGAGCAAGUUCUCACUCCCGACUUCACUUAUUUAUCAAACUCCUCGUAACACUGAAACCAACCACGCCAUUAUUGCAUUAAGACGGUGAUUCCAGUCAGCCUCAACACAAACAACAUUUUUGCCGGACAAUACUUGUCAUACAACCACUUCAAUUUGCCGUUCCAGACUCCACACAAUUUCUCAACCAACCCUGUCAAUGGUAAAAUGUACCCGGGCCAUCGCAGGAUACCCAACCAUGGCCAAAACAUACACAAAAUUUGACACUCCAAAGAGUGGCCUUCGCAACUUUGCCAAAACAUAAUAAAUUCAUAGUCGACUGAUAAUACCUGAUAAACAACCCAUCUCUCCAAAAUAUGAAUGUGUAAUCAACUGAUUGUGUGUCUGGAUUCAUACAAAAAUUGUUUUGCACAGCUGUUUCUAUCUAGAGGUGACAAAAGGAGGAUGCUCUAACUGAUCCUUUAAUAUAAAACAGUACACAAUGAUACAAAAAAUGUACUGUACAUCAAUGUAUUUUCCUACCCCUAGUCUGAUAACUGUUUACAGGAGGUGGAGAGCACCACCAUGAAAUGCUCGGAAAAUAGCCUGCUUCAGAAGCAAAGGUUAUGUCAAAACACCAAUUUAGCAAGGAUGAAAGCAUAAGCCAUGCCAAGAUGUAGCUUACAAAGUCCAUUCUGCACCACGCUGCAAUUGCUAGGCCACAAAGUGAAGGGCUCAAAACUGUUUAGGUUUCUGUUGAACCCAUCAGUAUAUGGAAUGCAGCACGCCUGAUCAAUCCAUCAUGAUACAAGACGCCCAAAUAAUAUUCCACUAAACACUAAAGCUCCAAACCACUUGUUGGACACAAACCUGCACAGAACCCAUUCAAAAAAUUUAAUAAGCUUUCAUAGGAUUGUAAACAUCAACAGCCACAUUAUUGUCUUAAAUGCCAAUAACCAUUGGAUACAAGGAAAACAUACUUCCUGUUGCAAUCAGAGCGGUUAGAAAGUUCCACAGUUGAAAUCUGCCAUGCUAACUGUACCGCUGCAGCACUCAGAAAAGGAUAGUAGGGCCAUCCUGUCCAAUAUGAUUUGAGGUCUGGAGUCAAUAUAAGUAAACAUAAUACUAUUCUUCACUAAAGCAUGACACUAUAAACCAACCAAGGUCAGCAUUGUAGCCACUGAGUGCUAAGCUGCAUAUGCAAGCGGCACCGAAGCCACUAAUCCAGUACUUGGUCAAAUCUCCAAAUCUUAAUGCUGUGGACUUAACUCCUACUUUGAGGUCAUCUUCUUUGUCCUGAGAUGUACAUGGAUAGAAAUAUUUGUAUAAGACAUCACAUCAACCUAAAACAAACACUUUGUCAAGGAUAAAUAUGAAAGAAUGAGAAUAUUGAAACACCUGAUGUGCAUAUAUGGUAUCAUAUACCAGUGUCCAACAUAUACCAGCUGUAUACAAUGGAAGGACGACUGCAGGGUCUAAGCUUUCCUUAAUAGCAGCCCAUCCUAAUAAAGCUCCCCAGUUGAAUGUCAGGCCAAGAUAAGCCUGAGGCUGUUAUUAAUGAAUUGAAAGAAACAUUAAGCUGUUACACCCUGUAAGCAGGAAUAUCGUAUUCUCAACCUCCGUAUGUACAAUACACACCCAAAAUGUGAAUCUCUUCAUCAGGGGAUAUGAGAAGACCAGAAGAAGUGAAGAUGCCCCGAGAAUACGGCUACAUGCAGAAAAAAUGACAUAAAAUUACUGUAAGUGCUUGUAAUGCAAGCAUCAACAGGCACAUAUUGUAGCUUCUAUAUAUAUUCUUUUCUGUAUUGGCAAAGGAAAUAACAGGCAGGAUGGCCUACAAUUUUCCUGGUUAUCAAUCAAGAAAAUGCAACUGGACUACUGUACGUACCACAACCUUUUUGGAUACAAACCCAGAACAUGUUGACUAAUGCUGCAGGGCCAUAGGCAUAGCCUCAGGCAUAGUGAGUUUAUCGUAUAAACAAGAUACAAACAGCAUGGACAGUUUUAAGUUGACUAAUCGAGUGCAGUUUCCAUCAAAUUGAGCUGCAGAAUAUAAGUAUCCUGCUUAUCCUCAAGAAAAAAGAGUGAAAAUAAAUAGUCCCUACAUAUUCCAGCAUUUGCUCAUAAUGUUCCUCUGUCAAAAAUCAUAAUUAAGUAUUGCGGGAGCAUGGAUAGGAUAAACACAUCUAAUGCUGUCAAAAUACAUCAGUCUACGCUAAACGCAUCUGCAAACCUACAAUAGCCAGAGAAGCAUUGAGUUUAAAUACCUGUAGUUAUUCAACUGGAGAAGAAUGCCCAGUCCCAAAAGAAGCUGAAACCCGAGGAAGCCAACUCCCUGUGAAGGAGUGAGAGCACCUGAUGCAAAAGGCCUGCUUUUGGUGCGCUCAACCUGUGGAGAAAUAUGCCAUCAGAUAAAGGCAUGCAAUAUCCAGAAGGAAUUCAUUGGUCACUUAAUUAUGUGCUUAUUUUAGUGAAAAGUACAAGGUGCACUCAGGAAAAAAAGAAGGCAAAAUUACCUUGUUAUCAAUGUCGCGGUCAAGAAGAUCAUUCACUGUGCAACCAGCCCCCCUGAGGAGGACAGCUCCACAUCCGAAGAGUGCCAGCAUUUUCAAGUCAGGCAACUGCCCUGGCAUCGCGGCUAUUGUGAUCGACCUGCGAAGCAAAGGUUUGAGUCUCUCUUCAACACAGAAGGUAAACUUGCUAUUGAUUUAAUAAUGUCAAAGAAAGCAACACAUGCAUACAACAGACAGAUACAAAAUCCUCAUCCUGUUCACAAGACACAAGGCAGAAGCCUGAUGUUCAAAAAACCAUCCGACCAACAUAACAUUUAGAUAAAAUCUGUACUGACGGACUAGUCUGAGUUUGCUAAAGACUCAACUUUAGUCUGUAUGAUGGCAGUGUAUGAACAGGGAACAAAACUUCGAGUUGCUCUUUUAUCCAGAAGUCCAGAACCAAUGUGCAUGUGUUCUGUUCUUCCUAAACUGCAGGAGAUCCUAAGCACCUGAAUUGAAACUCUAAUGAGGGCCGAGAGCAACUCGUUACAAUUAGUUAGACGCAUGGACCGACUCAAGAAGCUGUCCUACUGACUGAGAAUACAGAGAAGGAUGCAGAUGCGAGGCAUGACAAUGGCAGUAGUGAGAAGCAGCAGAACACAACACAGAACGUACCACAUGCAGGGCCAUGCCAGGAGCCAGGUCCCAAUGGGCUUGUCGAGGCGUGCGAGCAUAGCGUACGGCCGCGCCGCCUCCGGGAUCCACUUGUCCACCCACGUUAGAGGUGCCGGCGGCGGCGAGGCCUUGUCCGCGGGUUCGGAAGAGGAUGAUGAGGUCGAGAGGGGUGACGCGGGCGAGAAGUGGCUUGGGAGCAGAAUCCUGCUGUAAGGAAACUCGGUGGCGAAGGCGGAUGCUGAUGCUGGGCGCGGGCACCGGCGGAGAGUGAUGAGGUGGCGGCGGUAGGCGAGAGGGCUAGGAUCGGGGCAGCUGGAGGCUGGGCUCUGGGGAGAAGGCGACGAGAGGAGCGAUGAGAGCGCCGGGAGGGGUAGAGGGGACCUUCGGCCGCGGCGACGGAGCUCGGCUGCGGCGGCGCGGAGCAGAGCGGGCGGCGCCAUCGGUGGCGACCACCAGUUGUGCGGAUCGCUAAAUAGCACCAAGUUGCUAAGCCAAUUGGGGUGUUGGUAUCUGCUUCGGUCGCAGCCUGAGGCAGCGGCUUCCUCCCAGGGAGCGAGGAUAAAGGGGAGGCGGCUCGUCGGAGGGGGCGAACGGAACGGCGGCGGCGAUGGGCGUGAGGGCGGCGGCGGCGCGACCGGACGGCUACGGAGGAGAGGAAGAGGGAAGUGAGGGUCCGGCCCAUUUGAACACGGGCCUGAGGGCUCUAAUGUUCCAUCCGGCCCUCGUAUCUUAUGGGCUGUUUUUGGGUUAGGCCGGCCGACACACAACCCAAUUGGCUUAUGAUGAUGAACCGAACCCAAUUGGCUUAGGAUGAUCAACCGAAUUCCAGUGGAUAUACGAGGCACGGUGUGUCGGGGAUAGAUCUCGGUAGCCGCCAGGAACGAAGAAAAACCCUACUAGAAUUCCUCUAUAAUUAUACUAGAGCUCAUACAUGUAAUUCUACUAAGAUUUCUCCUUAUAAUCGACUAGUAAUAAUCCCGCCUCCUGAGUAUAUAAAGGAGGGUACGGGUCCCUAGAUCGGCAUGCAAAGAUCUCCUAGAACCACAACAGAGGAUCAAAUUCUCAACACCAAACAACACCGAUACGCAGGGCGCAAUAUACAACACCCUCAAAUAGGACGUAGGGUAUCACGCUACUCUGAUGGUCCAAACAUGUAUAAAUUCGUGUCUUGUGUCAUCGUUUUUACCUCCGAGUUCUGGAUCCAGCGAUCCCCCACCGACCAAUCUAAUACCUCGGGAUACUCUCGGUAGGUUGCCGGGUAUAAAACACCGACAUCUGCGCGGGGGUGAUCGUCGAGAUCAUCGGGCGAGCUUGAAGAACAUCAUCAUCAAGAUCAAUCUACUCGAUAAGAAGCAAGUCGUUGAGUCAGAGUUCCGAGCAGACAAAUAUACGUCAAGAUAGAAUCGAUGCGCUCCGUGUUGCAGUCAAAAAUCGAGUCGGUUUCCGCCGCAGGCUGCUGCAUGCGGCUUGUCGAUGAAGGCAGAGAUAAAUCCGAUUCGAGUUGGGAGAUCUGACAGACCGAGGGACCCACACUAUAAUUCCCAAAAUGAUAAAGAUCUGUUAUAGUCGCACGGGAUUGAGACAAUUAAUCAGUUCCGACUACUCUCUGAAAAGAAUUUUGAGGGAUUUGUGCUACACGCACAUGGAAGGCUACCACAAAACUUUAAAAUCAUAGCCUAACGUACAUAGAAAAUGUACGCAAACACUGCUACCCGACGUCCGGCCGCAUCAAGUCACCGACGACUAAUUCGACUACUCGUCUCGACUAGAAAAUUAGUCGAGGAUGGUCUAAUUCGACUCCUCGUUUCGACUAGAAAACUAGUCGAGGGUGGGUUCCACAUGAUCAACAACUAGUCGAAAUCAACUCCAACCAAUUGGCUUUAUCAACCAUCGACACGGCUUCGUCGACAAUCGUCCACGAUCAAGCUAUGUCACUUUUUUAAUUAUUUUAUAUAACUUUUUCGCCUUCAUGCAGGGCAACGCGCUGAGUACUUUUUUGUGUACACCUCUUGACGAAAAUUACCUCCUAGAGCUACAUUUUGUCAAUUAUUCUUAGACAUGUUAACCGACAGCCAUGAGCUUGGUACACUGAAUUACGGAGGUUAUAGCCACGGAUUUUGUGCACUGAGUUUCAAAAACUUCGCCAACAGGCUUGGUACAUCGAAUUUUAGAGGCUAUGGCCAUGGGUUUGGUGCACUAAGUGCUGGAGGCUCGCAGCGGCUACACCCUAAGGAGGCACUCAUCUUAUGCGCGGCAACACGCGCUUUCUUCGCCAAAAAAGCAGAAAAGUCUCAAUGACCACUUUACACGCAAUCGCGCAAUCUUUUUUAUCACAAUGCCAACUAUGUCAACUACUUAUUUUCACUGUCUUCUCUUAGUGGUCACUAAUAUCCUUGAGUAGAACACACCUUAAUUCGUGAAAGUCUCGAAUCUUCUGUCGUGUCUAAAUGUUAGGACGCGAAACAAAGAUCUCCGUAGCAGCAGUGCUAGUACGCGUACACGAGACAAAGAACUCACACGCAGUGGCAAUGGCUAAACAGUGAUUAAGAGUCUAAAUGUAAUAGGCUAACUACUCGGGAAAAAUAUGGCAGAAACAAGAGCACGACACAAAUCAUUUACAUUCAUCACUGAAUAAAUUUUGGUAGUAUCUUCAAAAUUUUACAAAUAUGCUACAUAAUGUAUGCAUAUCUUUUUUGCAGGUCAAGCUUCGGCGACGACUCUUCAGAACUCUCAGCGUACCUCCAAUGGCUCUAUUAGCUCCCAAGCUUGGGGGCUAAGUGCCAAUUACUACUCGAAACAUCUCCAAUGACUUAGCUAACUUCCAAAUUCGGGGGUUAAGCGCCAAAUAACUACUCAACGUGGCUUCUACAGCUCACGUGGCGCAUAAGCUCGGGGGCUGGAUGCCAAAUGACUACUUGAAAGACGACUUGCAUGAAGACUAAAGAUACUCGGAUUGAUUAUUUAAUCAUUCCAAGGCUCGGGGGCUGGUAAGCUACACCCAACAGUUGAUUUUUUUCAAGAUGAAAAAAGAAGAUUCAAGAUUUUAUUGACCCUAGCCUGAUUCUUCGAUUCAACCUAAGGCUCGGGGGCUACUCUAUAUGGAGUGCGACUUCCGCCGCCUUCCAUAUCACAUUCCAAAGAUGAAGAUUAAAAAUCAAGAUGAUCAAGAGCUUGAGCACAUCAUAGCUCAUGGCAGCUUUGAAGAACUUUGAAGAUUCAGCCAGACAAAGUACUCGAGAAGCACUAAAUUACUCGGCAAGGAUCUAAAAAGUACUCGAAGGCUGCUGCAUUCGACUAUGAAGCACUCGGGAGCUUAUCGGGAUAGAUCCCCAGUACCCGUAAGGAAGGAAGAAGACGGAUUCCUACUAGGAUUCCUCUAUAAUUCUACUAGGACUCAUACCAUGUAAUCCUACUAGAACUCCUUCUUGUAACCGACUAUUAAUCCCGCCCCCUGGAGUAUAUAAAGGAGGGCAGGAUUGAUGAGGACAUCACCUGUUCGGAUACAACCACAUUAGUAAAUUUUGAUUCACAGGUGAAAUAAUUCUUUACCAUGAUUGUAUUUGAUACAUUUGAUAAAUUGAUGUUGCACCAUGAUGUGUGUUCGUUGUCAAUUUCAGAAAUACAUACAUGGAUUAAAAAUAGUGUUAAACACACAUGGAAGGUGAUGAGGACAUCACCUGUUCGGAUACAACCAUAUUAGUAAAUUUUGAUUCACAGGUGAAAUAAUUCUUUACCAUGAUUGUAUUUGAUACAUUUGAUGAAUUGAUGUUGCACCAUGAUGUGUGUUCGUUGUCAAUUUCAGAAAUACAUACAUGGUAUAAAAAUAGUGUUAAACACACAUGGAAGGUAUGGAGGACCAAAGAAGUAGAUUGGGGGCCAAGUACAAGUAUUCCCAACGUCCUCCACCAGGCCACCACGUCACUUUUGGCCCAAGGAAAAAAAGAGUUCCAAUCCAACACGUUUUGGGGCUGGAUUCGAACUGCAACUCUGUGUCAACUUGCAACAGCCGCCACGACCUCAUCCGGACUCCGUUUUGGACGUUCAAGUACUCCUUGAAAUCCUUAUGAAGUAUAUUUUCAUAUGGAUCUGAACUCAUAUUCAUAUCUAUUCUGAGGUGGCCGCAAUCACCAAAAUAAUACCGAGAGGUUUUCUGUCCAAAGGUGCUGCGUCGCUUUAUUUUGGCCCAAUGGGCCAUGUAUCAAGUUGGGUCAAUUAGGGACAUGUCCUAGGGUUGGAGCACGACCCUAACACCCCCCUGGUCGUCCUCCUAGGUAUUAAUAAGGAUUAGAGUCGCCACAAACAGAUUGGGUUUUAUUUUUGUUGAAAGUUUAGCCAUUGCUACUUCCUUGUAGACGUGUGUGUCGACUAGACCAUCCGUUCUACUCGAUUCAGAAUCUCAACUUUGUGAGUUCAGAUUGAUUUCCAUCUCCAUAUUUGCAAUUGAGUUGCUUGUUAUACUUGUUCUUCGAUUGCUUGUAGGACGAGUGCCCUAGUGGCCGGGUGACGCGCUCCACAAGAUCGCGGCAGCCAUUGGAGGUGGUGUAUCGGUUGCUAAGGCGCAGCUUGGAAGGCUGUAGUCGAGCCGUGAACGUCGUCUCCAUCCACCAAUUGAGUUAUCCCACACCUCUCAUCGAAAGAUCGGGAAUCAACCCUAGCGGGUUCAUAUCAGUGGCAGGAUCCCUUUAUCGGUAGGCGAAGACCUCAUAGAAUCACAACAGAGGAUCAAAUCCUCAACAUCAAACAACAUCCAAGCGCAAGGUGCAAUAUACAACACCCCAAACAAGAGGUAGUGUAUUACGCUACUCUGGCGGUCUGAACUUGUAUAAAUCCGUGUUUUGUGUCCUCGCUUUUACCUUCGAGUUCUAGAUCCAAUGAUCCCCACAACCAAUCUACUUCCUCGAGAUACUCUCGAUCGAUCGAUAGGUUGCCUGGUAUGAAACCCCGACACCGUGUAUAAUUAUUAUUUAGGUUUGAUACUCGAUUGAACCAUUUCAAUGAAAUUAGUCCGAUCUACCGCUAAGAAGAUUUAUCUUUUUGUUUUUUUGCACAAGUUAAGUUUUAAAUUCAAAUUUUGUUUCAUAUUUAUUUGGUAUCAUAUAUAUUGAUAGUUUUGAGCUUCAACUUCUCUUGGUCAACAAUUUUUUUUAAAAAAACCACGGCUUCUUGUACCAAUCUUUCUUGGCACGUUACUGAAUCUGCUUAUGCUAUAUGAACUUGAUUAAAAUUAUAAAAGUUUGAUUUAGGAUAAUGUUUAAAUGACUUAUAUUUUGAGACGAGGGAGCAAGUAUCAAAGCAAUAUUUCGUAACAGCACUACUAGCGCCCGGUCGUCCGAUGGGAAUUUCCCAUCGGACGAUCCGUUGCAACAUUAAAAUAAAAUAUCUGCAAUAUCUAAAAUAUAUAGUUGCAACAUUGAAAAACAUGUCAAAAAAUGAUUAGUCGUUCGACUCUGGGAUAGAAAAUUUUUGCCGCAAACAUUCAUUUUGAAACAUGCGGAAACAAUAGUUGCAACAUCGAUACUUAACUAUCCGAACAUAUACGGAGCCGUCUGAUUUUUUUUUAAGAUUUAGGAUUUCUGUUCUGUUGCAUUACCGAUUUUGUAAAAACGUAAAAAAAAAUCCCCACUAAGUACUGCCGAUCAAGAAUACCACUGAAUCCCGGUCGGACACUUACGACAACUCUCAGCAUAGUAUAUUAUGGAUACUUAUUAUAGUGACUUAUUAGCACUGCCUGAUUAUGGUACUGUAGUGCAGCAGUAGGAACCACUAGGUGAUGGAUGGAAGCAGAAAGUAUCAUCAGUGUAAAUAAAGGGGUCCGGAGAGAGAUCAGAGAAUGUUUUCCUUUGUCCUGGGCAUAUAUAGCAUAAAGGUGCACUAGUACUGUAAGUGUGAAACAAAACAGGUAACAACUGCCGGUUACUUUAGGUGCGGCGGCAGCUGAUCGAUGGGCAUCAGUAACUAACAGUAACUGUUCCUCCAUCCAACCAUCCAGUUACUAUGGAUGGAUCGGAGGAGAAGCAAACAAACAACACCAAAAGGCCAUGUAUGUUCGUAUUUCUUCAGGAUGUUUCUGUAAUUUGGGGAUGUGCAGUGCUCUCUGACCCCACUUCGCCAAACAAAAGAAAAAAAAAGUGUUGAUUGAACCCGGCACCUAAAAAUGAUAAAGGUGAUAUGUUGAUGGACGACUGUCGACUGUGACUGCUCUCCAAACCAAAACAUGCCUAGUCGUCAUACUUUUUAAUCGAUCUUUGCUACUGUUUCUUUGUGUAAAAAAAGCUGUUAUGCAUGUCAACACCAAACCACCGAUAUAAUGCUAGGCUAGCUGUAUCAUAUUUCAUCCCUCCCGAUCUCUCUGGACCAGUAUGCAGUACUUGGACCUGCAUGUACUCAUUGCAUGCCACGACAAACUAUAUAUGUCUAAAUUGCCAGCCAUCAUGUGCAUGAUUAUGUCUCAAUACAAUUAUUCAUCCAUUAUUCGUUCCUUAUUAUAUACACACACAAAGAUGAUGAUGAUGUUGGAUCACACAUGCAUUUCAACAAGAGCAUUAUAUCGGUGGUUACAAAAAAAAGGAAAAUAAAACCUUAAUCUUAAGGGAUAUGGGGGUGGUGCAUGUUUACUGAUGAAAAACAACACUGUCUGCUGAUGACUGAUGAGUUGUUGCAUCAGCCAGUUCCCCAUUCGCUGCUUUAAGCACGCAGGGUACAAGGUAGCUAGCUUUAUGUGCAGUGUGCACUGUCGGCAGCAGGUUGGGUUGGUGGCGCAAGAAAACAUUCUGCGUGCGUGCGGUGCAGGCAUGAAAAGAUGGGAGAGGAGAAGCUACGCAAUGCAGCAUGCUAUGAUGAUGAUCAUUGCUGGAGCCUGGAGCAGGGCAGGGCAUGCAUGAAAUUCGAUCGCCUGAUGGAUCGGAUCCGAUCCACAGUGAAAGGAGGAAUAGCAUGCAGGUAGCAGCAGCAGAACGACAGAGUUGUGUCACUUCCCUGCCCGCGCGCUGCAAUUCAAUUUGGGUUCCAUCCACCUCUGCCUCUGCUCUGGCCUACUGUAAUGGAGAAAGACAAGGCAGCCUCAUUCAUUUCCAAUUUCCACUCUCGUAUCAAUUAUAUUACAUAUACUAUAGAUAGAAGAGAGGGAAUUCAACUGAACAAACUGCUGCUGCUGGUUGCAAAUGUUGAAGGACGACAGAUGAAUUGAAGGAGACGAAUAAUGGAUCCAAAAGCAGAUGCAGGUUGGAAUGAAGCGACAGGUCAGGAGGACAAGGAUGGAUGGAUCGACGGGAACCAACCAUACGCUCCAUGCCAUGCAUGAAAAUAAAAGAAAAAAAAUGAACAGCUCCGAUCCGAUAGAUCCAUGGAUGGAUGGAUGGAUCAUGGAUCGUCGUACACUAGACACACAGGCAGCAGCUGCAGCUAGAAGAAGUAGCAGCAGAGGGUUGGCUGGCUCUUCAUGUUGUGUGUCUCGUCUGGUCGUGUCUGCCAUCUCUCAUCUCACGCUCGUGCACGCUAUCGCCGCCUAUCUCUCUGGCUUCCUUCUUUUCUUUAUUUUGCUUUGAUUCAUCUUCCUCUCGCCUUCGUCAACGGUUGAAUUGCAUAACUUCUUUCAUCCGCAGCCAUGCAUUGAGUUUUAGGCACCCAUCAACCUCAUUAUAUGACAAUUAAUGUCUUGUGCUCAAGAAUUUGCAUUGUGACAGUGUGUGUUUGGCGUUUCAGUGUCUUCUAGUAAGAAUUAUGCGUACAAUUAAUUUUACUAUAUGUAUAUAAUCCAGACACACGCAUCAAAGGAAUUUUUUAGCCAUUAUCGCUGUCUUAUGCAUGGCGUACAUAGUUCCUUGGAUAAUUUGACACCAAAUUGCAUGGAGUCUCCCACUCUCCACGCUGGACUCAGUAGCCCGCUGCAUGGAACCGCUAUUUACCCUCAUAUACAAUUUAGCCGCUAUAUCCCGCUCCCCUUAGCCCGCUAUUUAAAACAUUGCUCCGUAGUAUAAAUAUUAACGAGAUGAGUUUUUACUGCAAAAAUAAAUGUAGCAGUAACAAUAAGAUACUGACGUGGUAUAAUAGGUGAGUUAUGAGUAGUACUGUUAUGAGAAAGAAACAAAGAUUUUCUUAUAUUAUAUAUGCAAGAAAUUCCGUCAAACAACCGGAAUAUGCGUACGUAUGUUUGAGGACAAGAAAUAAUUUACAAUAAAAAACCUGGAUCUGGCCAAUUAUAUAUAUAAUGACUCAAAAUAAUUUACAACAAUUGACAGCAUAUAUCUCGCAAGGUAAAUCUGCAUACGAUAAGAAUCAAGACAUGCAGGUCGCAAUCAAGAUGUGCAGCAUUCAGGCAAUCAAUAAAAUGAAGACAAGAUGGUGUAGAUCUAUAUAUCUAGCUACGCAUGGAAAUUGAAAUUGACGAAAUGAACCGCGCGCAAGGUUUCAACGUACCACAGAUGAAAUUAACUUUAAUUUCUUGAACCAUCAUCAGAGAAAUUAAAGUUGGGCGGAAGAAUCACGAAUCAUCAGAGGAAGAGAGAUGGACCUAUCUAAAACAUGCAGAUCGGCUGCCGACCCAAGAUUUCGAUUCAAUUCUGGCCAAGGCAAGCGAUCUACAGAGAGAAAGCCGGCCUGUGGAAGAAAUUGAAGAUGCGUCUAUGUUUUCCAAGGACUUUCUUGAACCAUCAACAAGGCGCUUCUUCUGCUAUAUACAUGCAAACAGCACACACGACGAGUUCACAGUUCAAGAAAGCCUGUGGAGAACAUGGCCACGAUCUUGCUUGCUUCUUUCCUUCUUGUCUUGUAACAAGCUAAGCUAAGCUAAGCUAGCAGGGGGGGCGAGAGAGAGAGAGAGAGAGAGAGAGAGUGAGUUGUGAUGGUGGUUGUGUGGAGAGGGAGGGGAGGGGAGGGCCGGGAGGCGCCUUAUAAAUAGCCAGGAAAUGGAAGGGCAGAAUUGCCGGCCAGCCCUGCGCUCCUACUGCUACAUCCAUCACCUCCAUCAAUUAUGUAAUGAAUACAGUAAUUUGUAGAAUCAGUGGCCAGUCAUUCAUAAUAAGCAGAGGCACCGCCCGGAUCACAUGCACCAUCAGUCCAUGAGUAGUGCUUACACUUUUCACGUGCAUUCUAGAAUGGCGAUCAUAUCGACGACUCCACUGUCUUUGGCCCAUGCAUGCAUGGCCACAUAAUUUUAGGCUUCAUUAUAUAAGUCUAUCUGGUUGUCCAAACACAAAUAUAUACAUAGGAACCCAAAGAUAGGGAUAUAACAUGCACCAAAAAGUCUAUAGAUAUGCAUUUAUAGGUGCAUAAUGUUUGUAGAUAUAGUCUAUGUCUAGAUGCAUAAUACUAAUGUUUAUGAAUCUAAAAAAACUAAAAUGAUCUACAAUUUGAAAGCGUAUGCAUGCAUAUGAUGCGCUUUACAGAGCGAUGUAAUUAAAUUAAUGCAUGCAAGAGACGACAUACAUGUGGUAAGUAGCAACAAAAUAAAAGCAGCUAGCAGCAAGAAAACAUAACGGAUCGGAUGGGGGAACAACUCAUGCAUGCACAUGCAACUACCAGUGCAGUCGACAGCGCUCUUCUGUUUCGAUCCAUUUGUUUGUUUGUUCCUUCCAUUUCGGCUUGUCUGGCUUUUGUUUCACUGAAACUUACUGUAAUUUCCAGUCGUCCUUGCAUGUUCUGCUCCUGUGCGGAUCAAGCUCUGAGCUUAGCUUACUCACCACAGAGAAGUAUAUAUAAGAGCUAAGGAACAGAAAGAAAGAAAGAAAGAGAGAGGAAGAUGAGCUCAGCCCCUCAGAUAUCAGCAGGGGAUCUGGACAGAUAGGCUGUCCAUCCCCCAGCUCAUCAUCAUCAUCAUCAUCAUCAUCAUGGAUCAAAUCGACCGUGUGCAAUAAUAUGCUGUGUCGUGGUCAUCACAUUCAGAUCUAUUCCCUCCCUUCCAAAUUACUACCAAAUUACUAGAGGUUUUGGCUUUUGUUAUGCAUCUAGAUAUAUUAUAUGUCUAGAUACAUAGCAAAUGUUAUGCAUCUAAAAACUCAAAACGAAUAGUAAUUUGGAACGAAGGGAGUACCAACUACUGCUGCACUGGAGAUAUAUUAUAUAUAUAGAUGUAUAUAUGAUGUAGUAAUACAAUCACGUACUAGCUCUUGAUUGCUAAUUCUAGUGUAUUUGUAUGUAUCACCAACCAAGCUGUAGCGGCAAUAAUCCAUGUGAAUGAUUGAUUUCGGAUUCGGAUUGGACCACCCACCAAAUCAAGUUAUUAUUGCCCAAUAAUCUCUGCACUAUACAGAUUUCUGUCUGUCUGUCUCGCCUCGUCUCUUGCUUGAUUUGGUGGCUCCCCAGUAUUUUUCUGCAAUAUACUAAUAUGUUUACUACAUAAUUAACUUGUAUAGCAAAGGAAGCAGCGCAAUAACUUGCACACACUAGACUUCAUACCUACCCAGCAACUUCAUUCCUCAGUGUCACAACUUCAUCUCAUGAUGCCAAGAAAUUAACCGAGACGCAACAACACGAUAUUUCCAUACACCAUACAUAUAAUAGGAUAAUCUUAGCUAGGGUUAACACCAUCAGUCAGUCUUUUCUCACACCGCUCUUUCCUUCCUAACUUAGUGCAACAAGGUGGAAGCAGGUCCCUCAUACCACAGAUGGUUAUUAACAUGCCCCCCUCUAGGAUAAUCUGCCUUGCAAGCAGCCAGCCAGGAUACUAGUAAACAUGCUUGGUUUCGGUUGCAACUUCAGUCAGUCAAAGCUGACUUGAAGUGAAAAUCAUCAAUUGUUGAGUAAAUAUGCCCGCAAUCCUCAUUGUAAACAAUAGCUUCCCUGCAUAAAACCACAAUCCAAAUUCAUAUUACCCACUGAAAAUUCAUAUUAUAGUGGAAGACAAGGGAAAGAGCUCUACCUGAUCUUCUCCUCCGGCAGUUUGAGCCGCUUCACUAUCUCAUGAAUGUGCACCCCAUGCUCACUCUCACUGUCAAUGAUACAAUCAUAAAUAAUGAUGAGCAACUAGAUUACCAACGCAUUGCACAAAAUGAAUUAACUUUGUAUAUGUUCAGUGAAAAAGUAAAUGCUAAAGUUAGUACAGGUAACAGGCCAUCAUAUUCUCGUAGGAAGCAAAUAAAUAUAAUAAAAAGGAUGACCAAGCAUUAAAACUUCAGUUGACGCAAUAAUCUAUUGGAGAGGCUGGACACAAUAUAUUUCGUACAGGUAGUUGGGUUUCAGGUCACGUAUUUCGUAAAAAAAAUAAAUUAAUUGAAAAAGGAAACGUUAAACAAAUAAAUUUACUAGGUGAAGGGAGGGCAAUGGAUGUGCAACUUACAUGUUUGCUGGUUCACGGAAAAUAUUCAGCACCUGUGUGUUCAAAUCAGUGUCAUUUCCAUUUGCUCCACCAGUCACGGGUGCCUACAGGAAUCAGUAAGGCAUGAUGAUAUCUGAAAGAGUUUUUGAUUAAAUGGUCAAUUCAAUAACUGCGGUUGCAACUUACUGGAUUGGAUUUCAAAGAUGUUGGUGUGCUUGAUUCACUGAAUCCAUUUGAGACGGACAGUCCCAUUGAAGAAUUGGUUCGUGCGGGACUGCCAACCUACGAUGUAAACCAGGAGCCUUGUAACACGUAGCCACAAGAAUGAUAUCAUGGGAGCAUUUGACCUUAGUACAGGACGGUGUGAUACCUUAGAUUUAGUGUUCUCUAUAUGCAUCCGAACACACUGAAUGAAAUGCAGUGUAACCUCAUUGAAAUCAGUUAUGGGCCUGAAAUAAAAUCCAUGAGUUUAUUUGUAUGCUGCAUUGCGAGAGUCAUUCAGCUUAAAUGUAUUUACUGCCAAUGAUACCUGAUUGAGAAAGCAGUAGCACGCUUUCGCUCCUGAAGUCCCUUGAGGCUACCAAUGACCGAGACAUACAUACCGUUCCUUGAUAAGCAGGAUGAAAGAGAGAAAAGUGAUGAUCCAUCCACAAGAAAGUGCAGCAACUUCCCUCCAGAAAAAGGGAAGACAGUGAAAUGCUUUAAUAAGAAUGAAAAGCCUAUAGCUUAUACUUACUGAAUAGCAGCAGUUUCAGAAGAAUCUGAAGCAUCAUUCACCCUGUGAACAGAAACAGAAAUAAGAAUAACCAUGUGCAAGGAAAUCUAUUACUAAAUUGGCUAAGUACAGGUAUAGUCAACAUGAUGGGCCCGGGCAUUAGACAACUUAUGCCAUUUCUUUGGGGGGUAAGGAAACAAGGUGAAUAGCUCUGAAAGUUCACUGAAACACGCACACACCUAUACUGCCAAGUGUAGAAUCAAUCAGUGUUUACAUUAGGAUAAGACUUGUACAGUACAGGAUCAGCAUAUUUUGAUUCUGAUGACAGCUAGCAGUGUGCCAUUAAAAAGUAAUAUCUGGCAUCCAGCCAUUCAAUUGCAGGAGAAAAAGACAUUUCUCUUUUGGAAUUUAGAGCAAUGAUUCAUGGAAAUGGUGUCACCAUCUGAUGAAAUCGAGGCGGCCAGUGCCGUCGUCGAGCGUGAAUGACACAUCGGUGGUCCGCUCCGCCUUGCCGUUCACCAUCCCCACAAGUCUAAUCUGCAAAACCCGCCCAAAUCCCCAAAUUAAUUGCCCACUCCAUAUGAACAAGACACGACGACGACGAAAGAGGCACAUUACAUUAGCCGUCUCGACGCCGUCGACGACGAAUGGGGCGCCCUUGUCGCCGGUGCCAGAUUGCUGCGCGUCGGCGAUCUGCUUCACGGUGAGCGGCAUGGUGCCGGAUGCGCCCCGCAUCUGCGAAUCCAAUCACCGGAUACAACAGGUCAGCUCGGUGGAACAUUAGCAAGGCAACGGCUGAGGUCGAAGGAGCAAGAGGAGAGGACCUUGGACGGUGUGGUGGAGUCGGCGGCGGCAUUCUGGGAGGAGGUGAACUGCGACGGGGAGAAGUCGGGUUGGCUCAUGGCUGGCGGCUGGGGCUGGCUCCCCCGUGCUUCUUCUUCGCUCGUCGCGACGGCGGAUGGGGCUUGGUGGGAUGAGAUCGGAGGCAACAACGGCGAGGGAGCGGAGCGGAGUCCCACUAAAUAAAGGGCAAGGCGGGAGAUUUGGGGAAAGGCGCGGGAAAGGAGCCCUUGCUUCCCGCCAUUUCCACCUGCGCUGACAGGCGGGGCCCACUUUCUGUUGCUGCUGGCCUGCUACUGCUACCCCACUUUCUGACAGGCGGGAACGGGAAGUACAGCCGGUGCGGGCACAGCCACAACCAUAACUGUUGAUCAGACCACCAACAAUAAGGUCAUCAAACUCUGGAGCUACGGUGACCGAAAGAUUCAUCGGGCAGCUAACUUUGGUUAGCUGACCCAUGCUAACAAGAGGCUCGACCUUGGCGACCAUCCUCUCCAUGUCAAUCUCAAGGAUGUUGCUGAAUGCAGAAAGGUCGACCUCGAAACGCCUGGCACGCUUGUAGUCCACGUUGCGCGUACCAACAACAACCCAAGGCUUCCUAGCUGUGCAAACAAGGCCAUCCUUCUUUGGAUCUCUCUGCUCAAGACGGUUGACGACUUUUUCUACAUUAUCCUCGUGCUCCUUCUGCCGACGUUACGACCGGAGGCUUUUUAAACUUCUGUCCGAGAACAAGGUUUGUACCUCGAUUGUGACCUAAACACACCUCGUUUCUAAUCACUAAGAUGAAACAAGUCAACUCGUGACAAACUCACUCUAGAAACGAUUAGAAAAGUUCAAAGCAUAGCGGAAGCAAAGCAAAGCGAGGCACCGAAAAACUUGCACAAGAGGAAAGCAAAGCUACUGCUAAACCUUCACUUGUCUAAGCAUGCAAAGAAUUAGGUACUGCACUCUCAUCGUAAAGCUACAGGGAAAAACUUGCAAAGCUAACUAGCUAUUGAUCAAGCAAUGAUUGCCUCAUCAUUUUCCCCGUAGCAUAAAAGUGAUGGUACCACAUUCAUAAGUAAGCAGAUGUUGCCGAACCUCCUCAAGCUACUGAUCUGCGGGUGACUUCCCAACAACAAGGUCAAUUUUCAAAAUCAACCCCCACACCUCUCUUUUAGAAUUGCCAGAUCCACGUAGCCAAGAGAGAUGCUAUUGGAUCAGAACUUCCUAUUUUUCCCUACGCGGGUGUGGCGGAACACCUCGGAUUAACUUAACUAAAGCACGGUUAAGUCGCUUAACACGCGACCAUCAUGCCUUAAUAAAGUUAACUCGAUGAGCCGUCGGAUUUCUUCCGAUUUAACCACUUAACAGGACCGAGUUAGCAUAGCUCACACGAAGGUGAGUGGUUCCAGAGAAUACAACAGAUCCACAAUUGAAUUAACAAGUUGUUACACACUGGUGAAAAUCAGAGUUCUACAGGAUUCAAAAGCAGCGGAAAGAUAAAAUAGCGGAAGCUAGCGCCGGGGUCGGAUAUCCCUGAUGAGGCCGAUCAGGACAUCAGUGAUCCCUUUUCUCGCCGUCCGAGGAGGGAUCCCACUCGACCGUCCACCCAGGAGGAAGCUGGGGCGGCCAAGUGCCAACAGCAACAAACUCAGAAGCUUCAACUUCACCUGAAAGAGAUGCCACAAGCAAGGCUGAGCUGCUAAGCUCAACAAGACUUAACCGGCUAGUGGGGAACUACUCCACCAACAUCUAGUACUCCACCAACAUCUAGACAUGCAAGGCUCUUUGGCUGAGGGGUUUGUUUUGCCAAAAGCGACUACAGUGGGUCCUUACUUUCAAUAUUUUAGCCCAGAUUCUAAGUUCAUUAACCAGUCUACAUUGGCAACUUAUGCUAAACAACCACAGUUUCCAACAACAAUGUAUAGAACAAGCAUCGAGUUCAUAUCAUCAUCAUGUUCCAUCUUUACUCAGUGUAGCAUAGCGAUCAAGCAGUCUCAAGCUGUGAGAGGCAGACGAAUCGAUUCGAGUUUCUUAACCAUGCAUGGCGAACCUAAUCUCACGACAUCCGCGCACCACAAAGGGUCGCUUCCUGUGUCGGCCGUCCCCAUCAAUUCCCAGGCACGUGUCAGGUCCAAACUUCCCUUGGCAUGCAAUGCUCCACAGUCCCGACCUCUCGUCGUACUAUGGCCGCACUUGCACCCACAUGAUGCACCAUGGGAACCUCGUUCCAGGGACAGCAGGGGUAUACCACGCCCUAGUUCAAUCAGGUAUUAGGCUUCCCCAUCCCAUACUAGGUAUGAGAUUAGUACUUUCAAACACUUGAUCACGAACACCAACACUUUCCGACCUUAAGCAAUUUCAUAUAGACAGACAGGGUGAUCCACCGACCACCAAAAGAGUUCACCAGGCCCUGCCCCGUCCAUCGUCCUUAUAGUUGUAACCAGAAGGAGAACAACCAACUCCUAUAACUCGCGAGUGAUAGGAAAUCACUCGAAUUUUACCGAGUCCUAUUAAGCAAUGCAACUACUCGAACUUAUCAGACUAGUGUUCAGAUCAAGGAAAACUAAGUCAUGCAUCUAGGGUUUCAAACAACUCCCGUUACGUAAAUGCACAUACAAACAAAGGAAGACAUGUGCUAGUUUGGAAAAUUGGGGUCAUGCUCCGGGGCUUGCCUUCGAGCGGGGUGGAGGCAAACGGGUCCUCUGAGGGUUCUGCUUCAGCUCCUGCGGUCGGCGGCUCAGCUACUGCUCCGUCUUCAGGCACCGGAUGCAGCUCGUAUAUGCCGUCGGCAAGAUUUAGUUCUACACGAAUGCAAAAGCAGGAGUUAGCACGUAGACGGUUAUUUCAACAACACUUGCAAGCUUUAGCCUAGAAACUUGUGGCAAAGCUACGGAAAAAGUGUGGAGGUUCAAGCUUCAGCUGAUAGAGAACAAGACAAAGGGUCGGAUUGGGAGAAACUUAUGAUCUGACCCUCUGACCUAAGGAAUACUGUACCGGGGUCCUCAGACUUAUCACAGAGAAAUCCCUGAUAUUUUACACAGGUACCUUCGGGUCAAGGAAAAAGAUACAGCCGAGCCCUCGGGUGAGGUGGAUAAGGGUCGGCGAAACAGACAGGGUCGGGCGAGAUAGAAAAAGGGGUCGGGCGAAAUAGACAGGGUCGGGCGAGACGGAAAAAGGGGUCGGGCGAACCAGAAAGGGGUCGGGCGAACUGGAAAGGGGUCGGCAGCUUACCUUCAGGUCUACUGGUGAAGCUUUGGGGUCGGGAAGGAACAGACUUGGGCGGAAAGAUUAAAGCACUAAGGUGUGGGCGGCAGCGAGGUUUGACAAUGCUCGGACGUGGCGGUGCUUCUUGUUGACACAAGUAAGCUCCGGAGGAGACAAGCGGCCGGUGGAUUGGGAAAGGCGGGUGUUGAGCGGAGAGGAGAGUUCCUCAAGAACUUAGGUGGCAGCGCUUGAGCACGAAACAGAGGAAGAUGCGGCAAGGCAACGAUGGCGAAGGGAACUCCGGUAGGGCUCUGGUACUCCUUUUUAUAGCUGUGUGGAAAAGAGGGAGUCCGGGCAGCGCGAAGAUCGGGUUGAAAAGGAUGGAGUGCUCUGCCUUGGCGGCGAUUGGGCGACAAUGGGCGGCGAGGCAGAGCUUCGGGGAUAGGGUCUUCGGUCAUUGGGCACUGAAGACAGAGCUUGUGCAGGCGCGGUUUUGCCGGAGAGAAGGAUUGGUGAGGGUGAGCGCGGGUCUGGUCGCAUCAAGCGGCGGAUUGGGGGUGGUGACUCGGCUAGCAUGUGACAGGAAGGAAGGAAGAGGGAGAGCGCUGCAUGCGAGGUAACAGGGCGAGUGGUGACGCUAGCAGGCGCAGACCAGUGGCUUCGCCGGGGCACGCUACUGGCGAGGUGGGAAAAGGAGUUGUCACUGCUGGAUCCGUGGUUGGCGAAGGCGGCAUCGUCGAGGGGCGCGCACGGCCGGGGAUCCGGGUGAGAUGAUGAGCGCGGGAGGCGAGGCGGUCUAGCGCAGCAGCGGCAGGGUGCUUGGCACGGUCGGCGAGGUUGCGAGCGAGACGAGGCGAGGUAGAGAGUCUGCAGGGCGCUUCUGCGCGCGAUUGGGAAGGAGGCGCGCUGAUCCGUCUGGUCGUGGCUGGCGACUGGGCGAGGCGGGGCUCGUCGGGGAGGUUAAGCCACGCGGCGGAGAGACUCUGACGCAGGGCGCACGCUUGCUCUGGUGCGCUUGACCCGAGAGAUCCGUGGGAUCUGGUUGUGGGUCCAACUUCCAGACUCUGGCUCUCCCACAGCUCCAAAGUUUGGAGGAACACUGGCUUUGGGACUUAGAGAGAACCGACGGUUUUGGUUGGGUUUCAGGGGUCGGGCUGAUUAGAACUGCAGAUUUGGGAACUUGUCUUAAGAUUAACUCGGCUGAUGAACCUGAGUCGUUACAGCGGGUCAAGAUCCAAAGAAAACAGAAACUCGAUUAAAUGACGUCUAAACUUCACGAAAUUUUAGCCAAAGUUUCACCCAGAAGAAGUGAGUCUUUGCCCAAAAGAUCUCCUUAAAAAGAAGGAGACUUCACCUUAAAUUUCAUAAUUUUGAUCAAGAACACAAGAGAAGGGGAAUUUUGGGAAAAUUCAAAUUUGGGCCAAAUAAGUGAGGGAUUUGAGCAGGGAUCACAAAAAAAAUUGCUCAAAGGGUCCUAGCAACAAACCCCCCCACAAAUCUCACGGGAUUUGAAGCCAAAUACGAAGAUCAAGAAAUCCCCCAAAAAUACCUCCGAAAAUACCGAAAAAGAUAAAUUUCAGAUUCCAAGAGGAAUAGAAUAAGUGAGCACGAAAUUGAUAUUUGAAUUACACCACCAUGUUCGGUUACAAGCCACUCCUAGCCUACUCAAGCUUUGGAUAGCAAAAGGAUCAAAUCAAAGAUCCUCUCAUCUCUCCCUCUCUCUCACCCAAAGGCUCUCACCAACAAAAUAAGAAUCCCACCGCUAAAGAGCCUAAGAGAUGUGGCUGCCCCAACAGCCCUUUCCACAAAUAUAUAUGCAUCCAGAAAAUGAUCAGAAUACCCUUACAUGAAACAUACAUCUCAAAUACCCUCUAGGUGUAAAACCGUCCAACUUUUUAUCGAUACAUCGGACGGACCUGGCAUCUUCACGACUUCGCUUCGCCUCGACGUAGGCUUCCUGAUGGUGCCACGUGUCCUCCGACUCGACGCCAUCCGGCCACACCGGAGUCACCCCCGGUUUUGAGGUCAAACCGGUCAAACCCACUUGCACGCCGCGACUCACUGAUUUCGACCGUGUCCGACCUCCGCCAAGCCUUCAACACCUCCAAGUCUUUCUCUCCCGGCUCCUGAGCCGCCUACUCAACUCACCUCUUUCCCCGCUUGACUCGACCGACGCUGUCUUCAUCCCAGUGUACUCUUGCUCUUCCGUGCACCAUGUGAAUCGUCCAUGACUCCGCCCGGACUCCUCGGGUCCCUCAGUCCAAGCUUACUCGUGUCCACCCUUAGCAGCCCUAGCACAUCAGCAUGAAUUUUUCGCUUGACCUUCACCUCAUGCCGUCGACCGCCAUAUCGCAUCCAACACUUGCACAUCCAGAAGAUAUAUUUUACACAUACCACAAUACAACUCACACAACACCACACCUCCGGUUAGCCGUUAGCAUAAUCAUGCACGUAUGAAAUAUGGACUCAACCGGAAAAGCCUCAAAUCAAUCCAGUCAAUCACUCAUCAUAAAUAGAUCAAAACAAAUCUCAACUUAGUCUCUCACAGGUUUCCUGGCAGACAACAGGCCUCCAACAUAGAUACCGGAGCAGAUGAGAGCAGAUAUUGGGAAAGAGGAAGCAAGAGAAUGGGGAUGGGAUAGUCGUGAAGACCGGGACGAUGUCGAUCGAUCACCUGUUGGUUGCUGCUGCCCGUAUCGUUGAGACUUGAUAGUAGAGAGGGUGGAUAUCAUGAAGUACUCUGGAUCGUGUUAAUUUGUAGUGUAUAUAUAGUGGUGGUGUGCAAAUAAACGAGAAUGAGAAUUAAUGAAAAUAUAAUUAGGUUUAAUUAUUAUCUCCAACACCGUACUAGCUGAAAUAUCAGACGCAAGAAAGAAAUGAGAAUGAAAGCAGGGCCAAAUAUAAUUAAUAACACCUAACCUUUUUGUGUUUUCAUCAGAGUGUGCGUUUGUAUAUAUAGUUUCUUUCUAUCUUGGACACCUACCUCUCCAUGCAUGCCGCUGUGAAAUUAAGGUCGUUUGGAGACCCUAACUAAACACUAAACUUUAGUUGACUCAAAAUAAAAUUAGCUCCAGUAGCUCUCCAACUAAAAAAAAAUUAGUUUUGGACGAUCCAAACCGAGCCUAAAUCAUGCACACCAUGCACGCAUGUUAAAAUACCUAAAUACUCCCUCCAUUAAAUACUCCCUUCGUUUCAAAUUAUAUAGGUUAUUUUAGCUUUCCUAGAGCCAUAGAUUUUGAUGAAGUAAAAGCUAAGCUAGAGCAUGCAUGCUGAACGCUCUGCAACUCAUCAAGAUAAUACUAAUACACAGCACCAUCCAUGGAUCAGUAAUAACUAACUCAUCACUUAUUACCUUUUCAAUUUAUUUAAAAUGAGUUUUGAAGCACAGCUAGCUCCUCAGGUAGUCAAGUUGCCGGACAGCAAGGCAAAAUAUUAUUAAUGGAAGAAUAAUCAGCCAACCAUUUUAAAUCAGGCAGCUUAUCUCCUAUACCAAACAAUUUGCAAUCGCUAGGAGUAUGAUAUAUAUUACGAGGAUCAAAUCAACUAACCAUUGGAAUCAGCUGAAUUAUCCCGAAUACCAAAUGCAGUAUUUAUUACAAGCAGCUGAAUUAUCAGACGAAACAAAUACAUGAAAUGAAAAAAGGACCAAGAAAUACCUAACAGUUUCAAGAGUGCCUUGCCAAACCUAUCACAUCAGAGCACGGCAAGAGGAGUACUAGCAACCCAAUCAACAGAAACUACUUGGUGGCAGUUCCUUUUCAGACAAAGAACGAUCAGACACCAAUCUACUAGGAAAUGUGGCACAUCUUUUUCAGAUCUCUUCGGCGUAGGCAGGUUCGAGUACGGCAGCUUCGGCCUCCUGCACCUCCUUCUCCGUCUUCCUCCCCUUCUUGGACUUGUAGUAGACGCUCAUCAACGUCCCCACGGCGGCGUACUUGCGGCGGCAGUGCUCGUAGUGCGACGCGUCGAACAUCCUCCACAAGUCCCUCUCGCUCAGCUCCGACACCGCGUACUGCGGCUGGUAGCAAUGGCAGCCACUGCUCCAGCCUGUGCACAGCCUCCGCGCCGUUGAACUCCUCGCCCUUCUUCAGAGCUGUCUGCGCGUACUGGAAGAACCAGGGCUUGAACCACCACCCGACACGGUUGAUCUUGUUGCCUUUCUUCUUCGCUUCCUCUUUCGUGGCAUACACACCGGUCAUCAUCACACCCUCCGAGGAUGAGUACACCAUCCCUUCUACAAAGUCAGGGACCUUUGCAGGGUCGCCAUCUCUUGGAGCGAAAGAAUCGGCGUAAGCCUGUGCAAUUUCCUUCAAGGUCCCCUUGACAGGAGUGUACGUCAGCCUCAUGUAUUCCUUGGUGGGAGCGAGUUUGAUCUCAGCCGAAACUAGGAACCCCAGUGUGCCCUGCGACCAUGGCAUGCCUUAGAACAGGUCGGAGUACUCGUUGUCCUUGGUGGCUCUGACAACUCAGCCAUCUGCAAGAACAACCUCCAUCGUGUCAGAGAACAGGCCAUAAAUGUGAGAGCUCCCUCAAUUCCGUAACCGUUGAUCAAACCACCAACAGUAAGGUCAUCAAGCUCAGCAACCACAGCAAGGGCAAGAUUCAUUGGGCAGGUGGCUCUAGUUAUCUGCCCCAUGUUAACCAGAGGCUCGACCUUGGCUAUCAUCCUCUCUUUGUCAAUCUCAAGAAUGUUCCUGAAUGCAGAAAGGUCAACCUCAAAGUGCCUUGCGCGCUUGUAAUCCACAUUGCGCAUGCCGACAGCAAUCCAUGCUUCCUAGCUGUGCAAACGAGGGCUUAAACCUAGCUGUGUAAUCCAUGGCAUGCCGACACCUGGUGGAGGAUGGCUUGCCUAUCCUGCAAUAUGCAGAUGAUAUUGUAAUUUUUAUGGAUCAUGAUAUUGACAAAGCAAGGAAUAUGAAAUUAUUGCGUCUUUGAACAAUUAUCUGGGCUAAAAAAUAAAUUUUCAUAGAAGUGAAAUCUUCUACUUUGGAUGGGCAAAACAGUUUGAAUUGGAAUAUUCAAGACUAUUUGGUUGUAGGAUGGGAACAUACCUCUUUCACUACCUUGGCAUCCCAAUGCAAUUAUAGGAAAUUGAGUAACAAUGACUGAAAAUUCAUUGAAGAUAGAUUUGAAAAGAGACUAAGUGGAUGGAAAGGAAAGUUACUAUCAGUUGGAGGUAGACUGGUUUUGAUCAAUUCGGUUAUAUCCAGUUUACCGAUAUUUAUGAUGUUCUUUUUUUAGGUCUCGAAGGAAAUUCUCAAUAAAAUGGAUUAUUAUAUAUCAAGAUUUUUUUUUGCAAAAUGAUCAACAUAAGAAGUACAGAUUAGUUAAAUGGAAAAUUUUGUGCCAACCAAAAGAACAAGUGGACUGGGCAUACAAAAUCUAGAACUACAAAAUAAAUACCUACUUAGUAAGUGGCUCUUUAAAUUGUGUAAUGAGGAUGGGACUUGGCAAGAAUUAUUAAGAAACAAAUAUCUAAAGAACUAGAUGUUAGGUCAGGUUAUAAAGAAACCAGGAGACUCACAUUUUUGGAUGAGCCUUAUGAGUGUGAAAGACCAGUUCCUUAGCCUGAGAAGAUUUAAGUUGUAGGAAGGAUCAAAUAUUAGGUUCUGGGAAGAUAUAUGGCUGGGUAACCAGACGUUGAGCUCCCAGUAUCCAUCUCUGUAUAACAUCGUUCGUAAAAGAUACGCUACAGUUGCAGAAGUGUUUAGUUCAACACCUUUAAAUAUCUCUUUCUGGAGAUCGUUAGUGGGUGAUAAUCUACAAGACUGGCAUAAUCUUGUAGCAAGACUCUUGAAUGUAAAUUUACAGGAGGGUAGAGACACCUUUAGUUGGUCACUUCAUGCUAACGGGUCCUUCUCAGUGCGUUCCAUGUAUAGGCACUUGAUUAAUAAUGGGGUAAAAGUCACAGGAGAAAUUUGGCGUGCUAAGCUACCUCUGAAGAUUAAAAUCUUUAUGUGGUACUUAAAAAAGAGGUAAUGCUUAUACAAAAGAUAUCUGGCUAGGAGAAAUUGGAACGGUAGUAAGAUUCGUAGCUUUUGUUGCUCCGAAUAGACUAUCCAACAUCUUUUUUUAGUGUGUUUAUGCUAGAUUCCUGUGGCAGGUGGUCCAUAUCAUUUUUGGAUUUGAUCCACCUUUGAACUUUGAUGAUUUAUUAGAUCAAUGAUUAACACAAAGGGGGCAAAAACCAGACCUAUACUUAUUAACAGGGGCAACGGUCUUAUGUUGGUCAAUUUGGUUAACAAGGAAUGAUGUCGUUUUUGACAAGUGCCAACCAAAAAUUUUUAUGCAGGUUCUAUUCAAGGAAUGUACUGGCUUCGACAGUGCGCACAGUUGCAGCACAAUGAGGAGAUGAUAAUCCAAGCAUGUCAAACCUUGGAGACAUCAGUCCUUAAUUUCUUUGCCUCCUAUGGAUGGCCGUUUAGUUUGCGGAUUGGUGUUUGAUACUUUGUGUGUGUUUGUUAAACCAAUUGCUUUGGCAUGGAUAGCAUUGAGCUAUUAAGUGUAAUAAUUUUGGACCGAUUCUCUCGGGGUUGAAGCCGGAACUCUGCUUAAGCCGAUUCACAACUUUGUUUACAUUUUCCUCAUGCUCCUUCUGCCGGCGUUUCUCAGACUUCAUAGCAGACCACAUAUCUCCCAGAUAGAUGUUCAAGUAGAUCAGCGCAGAGAAUGGAAGGACCACAAAGAUGACAAGAAUCCAUCGGAACUGAACCAAGUAGUCCACAAGAACCUUCUUCCUCUUGCGCCGCACCAGAGGUGUCUGCAGAUCCGCCACGUCUCAAGGCUGCCUCUGCCUCUGAAGGAAAAAGGAGCAACAACAUCCUCGUAAGUGAAAUGGCAUAUGCAUCCAUGAUGCAUCCAUUUGUCAAAUUAAAAAUGUCAAGCAACAUAGAAGAACAAUUUAUCCCUGAGCAGACAUAAGAUCUAUUGACCUUACAAAUGUUCUCUACAUAGUACAGGCAAUAUUUUGCAAAAUUGCUGUUUAUAGAUUGUGUAGAAAUUCUGGCACAACAUUAGCAUUACUGCAGUCGUGUCCAUUUCGUUUGGAAAAGGACCAAGCAAACAUGUUACGCUGUUGUACCAAGCUCUGAAAUCUCAUUCGACGCAUGUCAGCAGAAGCACCUUCACCUAAAGUAUUUACCCCUUGACCCGUUUAUAGUUAGAAAAGAUUUGAGCAUAAGCAUAUUAACGUCAUCACAUGCCAACAUACAUCUUUAUCUAAAUACAUGGAUCUUUACUUAGAGAUUAACAUACUAGAUCCCAUCCCACCCCUCAACAGCAGGCAAGGUUACAAACUUAGCAAUAAAACAGAGAGAUGGUAACAUCACAGAGAUACCAAUAUAGAACACUAGGGAGCUCUCCUUUGUAUGAGCAAAGAACAAGAAGAUAGCACGUGAAGAUGUGAAUGCAAGGAGCAGCAAAAGCAAUGCCAGUAUCUAAUGCCAGAGCAGUUUCGACCUCCAUCUAGCGCAUGCUAAUCCAUCCAAUACAACAAUUAGUUACCGAGCAAACAGACGUGCUUGAACGCUAAUCAGGAGCCCAAACAGCUAAUACUACUAAUAAUACAAGACACAUAUAUACUCCAGUCAAGACACAUAUAAUACAGCCGUGGAGGGGAGACCGGAAGGUGAGAGGAGUUGCUGGUGCCGGAUCCUUGAGGCCACAGCCCAAUUUGGUAGUCCAAACAGAACAGCACAAACAACUUUAGGACAGAAGAAGAGAUGAUAUGAAUAUACACUUGCUGGAAAGAUGUCAAAAAGAAAAGAAAAUAAGAGAUGUGAAUUUUCACGACCAUUUACAACCAGCUUCGGUUAACUCAGCUCAGCUAGCAUGGUUCUGUGGAUCUGAUGAAACGCUAAAUUUACAAGCAAGCCGAGCCGUAUUGUUAGAAAAUUGAAGCCGGAUGGAUGGAUUGCUUUGCUAAGCUGCUCCAACAAUAAUUAAUCAUGAUGCCUGGCUUCAAGGGUUGAAAUAGCCUGAAGCACCAAGGUUGGAGGACACGAGCACCACCACACUCGUUAUGGCCGCAAGCCACACCAGAGCCGUAUCUGAAAUAAACAACAAUAUGAGAAACCAAACAAGCAAAGCCAACAUAUAUAAUCAAAGCUAAGAUGGCUCUUCACCUGUGGAGCUAUUAGAUACAGUCUCCGCAUUAGCCGCCGCAGGAGAGACUACACUGUCGGCGCUUCCUGAUCCACUGCCCACCUGCUCAGGAUCUCUUGAAGUUCCCGUUUCCAAUGACACUAUACCUUGGAAUUCCUCACUCGCAAGCAGCGCAGCAAGGAGAUCCAUGAAUGUUUCUCUUUCUUUACCCAAAAAGUCACUUCCCUUGCUCAUGUCACCUUGGACAUAGUCCAGCACAUCCUCGUCUGAGAUGUAACCACCACCAAGCUCGCUUCUCACCGUCUCAUCUUCCUCGUCCUCAACGUACGCCUUGAACGUAAGCCGAAGUAGCACCUCUCCAGCUGCGCAUUUCCCAAACAAGCCCCAUUCGCCAUAUAAAGUUACAAUUUUGUCAGUUGGAACUGUAUCUUUAAGCGACCCCAACUCAACCUGACAAAAAUAUUAUACGGUUUUCAGAAAUUCAUCCGAAUGUAACCAAAGAUGCCCAGAAUCACAUGGAAAACCAUUGAUCUCAUACUUUUAUGCUCAAACACAUCUACUAGCAUCGAUGGAGAAUAGAAGGAACUUCCUGAUUGAAGAAAAAACAUACCUCCCCAGUGCCAAUAGUGACGUCAGUUAGUCCAAUUGAAUCCUUCACUUGAAUGGUCAACUUCUGUUUGCGAGGAUUUGCAACAAGCAGAUGAAAAUCCUGUUUUAACAUGAAGUGUUUAUAAGCAUGAUGGUGUACAUGAAGUAAGGUUUCAGCAAACACCCAUGAGUUCAGAGUGUUGAAACCUUACUUGAUUCCAAAUUGGUUCUCCUGGUAGCCCAAUCACAGUUGUUUGACUGUUCUUCUUGCUCUUUAUCACUUGAUCACCAAGAAUCAUGACAACAUAAGGGUCUGUCUUGCCUGCAAAUGAAAUAUAAUGUGAAGUUCCGCACGGCAGAUGAAACAGGUGUUUAUAACAAAAGAAGGAACUACCUUCUCUUGGUUCCUUUUUUCCCCAGAUUAUACAAAUAUUAUUGAACUACCUUCUCUUGUAGCACCACUCAGCCAUGUGAUUCUAUCAGUCCAGAUAUUAAUACUUCAGCACAUUCCUUAGCACAAAUGUCUCAGCUGCAAAAAUCCUGUGCUACUUUGGACAGGAUCAAAACUAGUCUAGCAUAGCCCUAAGAAACGGGGAGCCAUUUGAGACCUGCCCAAAAUUUUUUCCUUCGGUCUACCGGAUUCUACUUUCAUACUUUAUUUACCAAAGGAAAGUUUUUCAAUUUUAGCAAUUCUUGCCUAAUACAACAAGGGACAAGAUAGGGCUCCCACUGAUGAACUGGAUGACAGCUCUUAACUAAUAAGCAGAUGCUAGAUCUCUUGACUAAUAGAUAUAUUUCAUUUGCAAAGCAAAGGUCUCUUACCAAACAGGGUGAAGCUAAGCUUUCUAGCAUCAACUAGCGUCACUGAUAGCUCUCCAACGAAGUCCUUGUUUCCAUCUUGGAUUAUGUCACUUGCAACAUUUUGAAUUAUGUCACUUGCAAUACUUCCUGAAACAGGUCCCAUAGCUCUUCCCUUCUGAAAAUCAAGGACUAUCUUUUUGGGCCGCACAAAGAGACGUGGCAAAUCUUCUGUCAGAAGUUUUGUGAGAAACCUGGCGAUGGUGAUUUAUUAUGUUAAUAUCUAGCAAUGAACAGGACCUGUCUACAAAAAAACGCAUAAAAAAUUGCGACAGCCAAAGACAUUGAAUUUGGGAAUGAUCGAAGACUUUCCCUGAAACAUGAUACAAACAGAAUAUUUCGAAACUAUCAACAUCAUAUAUAUACAUCAAAUAAAUGUGUCAAAAAAUCAGUAAGAAACACAAUUUUCUUUUCUAGAUAUUUUGAUCAUAAAUCCUAAGAGUGUUUGUCGAGAGUCUGUGAGUCAUUCACUAAAGAAGCUAGGUGUGAUAGAAAGUUAACCAACGAAGCAUGAUCAAAGAUAACAUUUUUAGCGCAAAAGUUAUUGCGAAAAUGGUUAGGAAACAGGAGGGUAGCAAAUAGGAAUAGCCUUUUAAUCUUUUAUAAGCAAUCAAAACUAGACAAAACUAGGAGAGAAGGUGAGGAUGGCACCACAACAAUAAUAUUAUCAUUACAAAAUGACCUAAAUGGCUACAUACCAACUGAAUGGAGAAUAAAUGCACCAAUAGUAAUUGCUGGUGAUAGGAAAAAGAUGGAUUAACAAGGACUAUUGAUUGCACUAAAACAAACAGAUUGAACCACAAAUUUGCAUAAUGUUUGAGGCAAACAUGCUUACAUUGACAGAACAGGAAUGGCUAGCAGAGACAGGCACCAGGUCCAUGCAAAAGAUGUAAGAAUAUUGUUAGCCAAGCUAUUAGAUUUGUAAUGCAUAAUGCUAUAGGAAUAUCAUGAAAGAAAAGGCUCACAAUCAAGGAAAAAAAAAUGAACAACGGCUUGUAUGUAGGAUACAAAAAAAAGACAGAUCUUCUCAUAUCUUAAUUUGGACCUUUAAUGGUGUUUUACCAAAGAGCUAAUUCGGUUGAGAGUAUCUUGCGAAUUUAGACAAUUAAAUUCAUUUAUAAAGGUCUCCGACUUCUGCCUGGAGUCAGCAAACCACCCAGCACUAAAGAAUGGAAUAUGUCAUUCUAGUUGUUUAAUCCCAUUCUAUCAGUCAAAAAAACAAUCAAAUGUUAAUAACAUGUACAUAUGAGCAAUAGAAACGAUACAAUAGUUCCAUAACAUUGUGAUCAUAAGCAUAUAUUUCUUUUCUAAACAAAGAUAGCUUAAACUUCAACUAUCCAACAAAGGAAUAACUACAAAACUAUGUGCACAAGAGAGGUACUAGCACUACUGCGUAACACGAUGUAGUAAUUAGGACACAUAUAGAAUUUUUUGUCUAACACGUGUAAUAUCGCAUAUCUUGAGAAAACCAAUACUCCUGAUUCCCAAAGUACAAAAUUUUGCUUCAGUCAAGUAAUUCAAGUUCGAAGGGGCCAAAUAUGUCAUCUUUCAAAAACACAAUUGAAUAACAAUAAAAUCAAGAUAUUGAGUUUGGACAAGCAAGUGGAUACCCAUAAGAUUGAAUAGGCGGAACAGUGAGAGCUCAAACUUGAUCUUUGGAAGGGAUACAAAAGCCCAAGAUACAGCUCCCACCCAUGGUUCUGUUGGAAUGAGCCUUAGCUUAACCCAUAACUCCCCAUCAAUGUCGAAAUCUCGAACCCAAACUGGCACGACGAUUGGUACUUUGGUAAACUUUAGGGAGAGGGCCAAUGCCAUGCGUGCUCCACCGGCAUAGCGAAUGCCAAUUUGGUACCUGGAACACAGAACCAACUUGGUCGGUGCCUUUUCUUCUUCUUCUUCUUCUUCUUCACCAGCAGCUAAUUUAGGGAUUUUUUUAUAAAAAAAAGAAAAAGAAAAAGGGAAGUGGGGGAACUUACUGCAGGUCGUUUGCGCGCCUCGAGGUCCGGCGCUCGACGUUCCUGACGGAGAGCGGCUCCUCUCCGAGGUAGAACUGCCUGAUCUCGACCCUGUUGACGUAAUCGGGCUUCUGGAGGUUGUCGAUGACAGGCUGGAGCAGGCCGACGAUCCAGUUCUCGAUGCCUGUGCGGUAGACCUUCCAUAGCUUGCCGAGCACCAUGUUGACCCAUUCGACGGACUCCUUGCGCUGGAGGUCCUUCUCCUCGAGGAAGAAGGAGAAGCUGGAGGUGGGGACCUGGGGCCAGGAGCCGUUGACCUUGAGCUCGCGCUCGGCGCGGCGGCGCUUGCGCAGCGUCCAGAGCUUGUCGAAGGCGGCGCCGACGAAGAAGAAGAGGGCGAAGAGGCCGAUGACGAAGCGGCUGAAGGGUGGCGCGGGGAGCGGGUGGAUGACGCCGAGCUGGGUGCGGAGCUUGGAGACGAGCGGGUCCUCUGCUCCCCGGUAGGCCCCCGCGGGCGUGAAGGGGGUGUCGAGCUGGGGCGCGGUGGAGGGGGCGGGGGCCUCGGGCGGGAGGCUGGUGGUGGGGAGCGGCGUCGUGCGCUUGGAGGGAAAGGCGGCGGCUCUGGGGACGGGAAGGCAUCGGCAUCGGCGGCGGGGGCGGAGGGAGGGGAGGAAGUAGGACGUGGAGGGGCUAGCAGCGGAGAGGGAGGGCGGCGGCGGCGGCGGGAUGCCGGCGGAGGGGGUCAACAUCGGGGUUCACCGACAUCCGGCGAGGACGUGCGGUGGUGGCCUCGCCGGAAAAGAAGAGAUAUGGACGGACGGACCCCAAGGAAGAAGAAGAAGAGACCACUGACUGACUGGUGGUGGUGGUGACGGGCCGAGGUGGAGCGGCUUCUCCCACCAGUUCGGACCGUGCGUGGGGCCCACGCUCCCUUGCCUUCCUUUUGGGCCCACGGAAGCCCAUCAAAAGCCCAAUCAAUUAACCCAGCGGGCGGGCGGCGACGGCGAGGCGAGGCCACCAACCUCCUCCCACAAUUCCCAUUCCAUCCCCCACGAGACCGGCCACCGCAUCUGACGACGUCGUCGCCGGCGAUGGACCGGCAGCUCUCGCCGCAGGAGUGGGAGCAGCUCCUUGACGACUUCGCCUCCUCCUCAUCCUCGCCCUCCCGCCGCCAACGAUGGCUCCACCUCCCGCUCCUCGACCUCGCCGUCUCCUCGCUCCCCCGCCGCGACCUCCCCUCCCACCUCAAGCCCCUCCUCCUCUCCCUCAUCGACGACCACCUGCUCCCGCCCGCCCCGCGCAGCCUCCCCGUCCUCCUCACCUCCUUCCUCUCCUUCCCCGCCGACCACCCGCUCCGCGACCACCUCCUCACCACCGUCGUCUCCGCCUUCGCCUCCGCCCUCGCCGCGCCCGUCUCCAAAGACCACGAGGCCCCGCCCCUCGCCGCUCUCGUCGACGCGCUGCUCGCCGCCGCCAACCGCCCCAACCACGCGCCCGACCGCGCCGCGCGCGCCCUCGCCUGCGACGCCCUGCGCGCGCUCGACGCCGCGCUCCCGGGGCUCCUCGCCGAAGCCCUCGGCCACCUCUACGCGCUCGCCGCCGCAGAGCGCUCCCCGGCCGCGCAGUCAUACCUCCUCCUGCUCGCCUCCGCCGCGCGCCACGCCGUACGACUCGGGAGGCUGGCCGCCACCACCUCCAUCCUCGCGGUGGCCGGCCCGCCCACCCCCUUCUCCGUGCCCGCCCACCUGCUCUCGCCUCCCGCCACGUCUGUUGCGCCGCCCUCGGAGGUCAACGUCAGGGACAUAAGGAAGGUGCUCGCCCUGCUCAUGGACCGGCCGCAGGUGCUCACGCCCGCAGCGGCCAUGGAGAUGACGGCCAUCCUCGCGGAGGUCGCGUCCGCUGUGCUCGAGUGGGCGCCAGCGAUCGCAGCGCACAUCAAGGUGCAGUUUGGGGGAAUGGUGCAUUCCUCCAACCCCAUGCUGCUACACUCGCUGCUCACGCUCUUCGUGCGGUUCCCAGAUGCGUUUGGGGCCGAGGAUGAGCGCACAAUGGCGCGCCGAUUAGCUUUGGCUGCUCGUGAGGCGCACCGCCCACUCGCAGCACGAUUGCUGGCUUUGCAUUGGCUACUUGGGUUUACCAGGUUCAGGAAUCUAGUGCCUGGGCUUGCCCGAUGGUUUUACCCUAACUUAUUUGAUCCCCUUGCGCUCAAGGCCAAGAAGCUGGAUUGUCUAGCUUAUGUUGCUGCUGAAGUUGAUGGGGAGAAGGUUGCAGGAGGAAGAGCUAGCGAGCAAGCGAACAGGCUCCUUGAUGAUGGCUUGGUUUGCGUCUCCGCCUUCAGGUGUCUUCCGGCAUGGAGUACUGAAACGGGUGUGGCAUUCCGAGCGCUGCACAGGGUCUUGGUUAUUGCUGCUCCUCACAGCACCGAUGACACGUGCUGCUCCGGGGCUGGUGAGCUCCUGAAUUCUACUAUCUUCCACCAUUUACAGGUAGAAAUUAUCGAGAUAGUUAACAAUAGGCACUGUCCAUCAAAUCUGCAAGAACACACAGUUCAAUUGUAGUGCAAACCAAUUUAACGACGCCUCUUUCUGUGAUCACUGUGUAUGCAGGCUAUCUUGGUUGAUAUUGCAUUGGAGCAUCGCGGUUUAGUCCCAGUGAUCGCAGAGUUCACCAACCGUCUGCUAGCUUGUAACUCACAUCGGUGGGCUGGGGAGUGGUUGCUCCGGACACUUGAUGAGCGCCUGCUUCCAAGGCUUGAGCCAGGCUACCAGCUUGCGUCGUACUACCCUCUUUUUGAGAAGAUUGCACAGAAUGAGACGGUGCCUCAGCUCCGCCUAUUAGAAUUGCUCACCAAGCAGAUGGUUUCUCUCACCAAGAAGCACGGCCCAGACACAGAGCUAAAGUCAUGGUCUCAGGGAAGCAAGGUUGUGGGCAUUUGCCGUGUCAUGCUGAAGCAUCAUCACAGCUCUCAUGUCUUCCUUCCCCUUUCGCAUCUUCUUGUGCUCACCAUUGAGUCCUUCCCUGAUCUUGAGGUUCGGGACCAUGCAAGGUAGAGUUUCAUGUAUCACUUGGUUUGUGUUAUGUGUUGCUCGAUUGUCUUCUCAUCGCUUUUAAAAUGAUUCAUCCAGGAUUUGCUUGCGGAUGUUAUCUUGUGUUCCUGGGAAGAAACUGAGGCAUCUCAUGGGAGUUGGCGAGCAACCUUCAGGUGUCGCGCCUUCUCAUCCGGGUUCCUUAUUCGACAUCCCAUCACCACGUCCUGCUCAGGAUCUUAAGAGCAUGCCUGAUCUGGUGUCAUACAUUCAUCUUGAAAGGAUUGUUCCUCUAGUUGUAAAGCAAUCGUGGGCCCUCACAUUGCCUAAUUUCAGUGUCCAGAGCAGACCAUCUGGUUACAUUCUAAGUAUACAGGAUGUGAGCUCUACUCCCUCUGAGCAAGAAAAGCCAGCAGGACCGACAAUAGAGAGAAUUGGCUAUACACAAGAAACACUUCGUGUGAUGGAUUCUAAAGGUGCUGAAACAUUGCAAAUCCUCAGAAGGUACUUCGCGUGCAUUCCUGACUACCUGCACUCAUCUGGUCUCAAGAUAAGAAUACACUGCACAUUUAGAUUUGAGCCAGAGCCAUUUAACCAUGCAUGGGGAUUGGAUUCGCCAGUUUCAGGUUCUGACGGGGCUGAUGAGUUGCCAGCCCUUUAUGCAGUGGCAAUUACAUUCUCGUCAAGUGCACAGUUCGGAAAAAUUCCCUCAUGUCAUGUACCUUUCAUACUAGGGGAACCUCCUGGUUCUGGUAUGGACAUUGUCCCCGUAGAUAAUCAGAACAGGGAAGAAUCCACUUACUGUGCUUCAGUGGUGAUUGAGCUGGAACCUCGAGAGCCUUCACCUGGCCUUAUUGAUGUUUCAGUUGCAGCAAAUACAGAGAACUGUCAAGUCUUAUCAGGGUCCCUUAAACCUAUUACAGUUGGCAUUGAGGACAUGUUUAUGAAGGCCAUUGUACCACCUGAUACACCAAAAGAGGGUGUGGCUAUGUACUAUCAGGAUCUGUUUCAUGCUUUAUGGGAGGCCUGUGAUAGUUCUUCUAACACAGGUCGAGAGACUUUCCCUUUGAGUGGAGGGAAGGGAUCAGCUGCCAUUAACGGGACUCGGUCUGUUAAGCUUAUGGAGGUAACUCCGAAGGUUUUGAUUGGAGCUGUUGAAAGAUACCUGGCUUCCUUUGUUGUCAGUGUUGCUGGAGAUUCACUUGUAACCAUUCUGAGAGGAAAUGGAGUCAUUAAGAACGUUUUGUGGGAAGAAAGUGUCUCAGAUGCCAGUGUAGGUGCUGAUGCAUUGGUUCCAUAUUCACCGGACAGCAAUCUCCAGCUUCAGCUUAUAGACGACGACGAUAUUGGGGUUGGUUCUGAGAGGUAUGGCCAUGAAAGCAAGAGGGAUAUGGGAGUCAUGCGUGUCAUGAUAUUCCUACCACCUAGGUAUCACCUCCUCUUCUUGAUGGAAGUAGGUUGUGCCUCCACAUUGGUCAGGAUAAGGACUGAUCAUUGGCCUUGCCUUGCAUAUGUGGAUGAAUACCUGGAAGCGUUGAUUUCUUAGAGGACUUCUCUUGCCAACAGUGUUCAGUUUUGUACCUUAUGUAACACUAAAGAGUGAACAGUGGGAUUUUGUUUCUUCUUUACCAUUGAGUUUGGAGCGGCAUUCCUUUUUUGUGGAUUCUGAGUUGGGAGCUGUAACUUCCGGAAGAGAGAGCAGUUUUGUUUACUGCUAUCAUCAAGAAUACAUAAUUUAUAUGCUCAAAUUAAGUUCCCAUUUAUUCUUUUUUUUUAUAGCUGUACCGAUGAGUUGAUGUGAAGUUGGGGCUUAAUUUGUGUUGCAUUUGUAGAAUGUACCAUCCUAUGAUAAAUUAUACAUUCUUGCAGAAAUUUCUGGGGAAAAAACUGAGAAAACAUUCGGCAGGUACAUAUAUGUGCAAAUGUGGGCUUCAUUAUUGACUCGAAAAUGUGCAGAAGAAAGGUACAGCCUGCAGCUCUAUUACAAAGAUGGUGUUCUCUGGAAACAGCAGCGGCAACAUCCAGCCUCCUGGAGUGUCCUUCUUUGUGACCACUGACUCAAUUAAGAUGCUCCUAGCUUGUGUAGUUAGCUAGGAGGGACUCCAUAGCUGCAUUCUUGGCUUGCACAUCUCUGUACUUGAUUCGAUAGCCAUGUCCUGUGAACAGCUCGAUUCCAGGACACAAGUUAACAAAUAAAAUACAAACAAAUAAAUAACUAAACAGCAUAACAUAGAUAAAAGUAAUAUGAAGUAGACAUGAGAUAGAAAUCGAGUUGAAUUAUGCCAACUUAUAUUCCAUUUCUGAUAUCUGAGGAGUGCACUGCAUACCAGGUAAAAUCCACUCGAAUUCUACUUCUAAUAGCUUCCUGAUGCUGUCCAGUUGAAGGGUCACUGCGAGUUUGUUGUACAGCAGACAGACAUGAUAAUCAGAGCUCCAGCCUAAUGGUUUAACUCACGAGUUAUCAUCGGUUACAUAUGAAGACUAGCGGGAAGGGAUCGACGCUUGUACCUGAUUGCUUGCUGUACAUCCGAAAGAGAUUUAGAUCAUCAGAUUCUUCUGACUUUGCAACAUGAUCUCCAGUGAACAGCACCUUUAGCGGUUUGUAAUACAAGCAGACAGAGCCCUGGAAAAAUGUUUUGUUUAACAAUCAAACUAGAUGGAGCCCUGGAAGAUGAUGAGCAAGGUGCUAAAUCUGUGUUGCUAAGAAAUCUUUGUUACUAGUCACAUCUGGAUUCAAGCCCGUUAAGCUGAAUUUCUUACUUGGGUAUGGCCUGGUGUAUGGAUAAGUUCGAAAUCUGUUCCAAUGUUCCAUGGUCCAUUUCCAUCAAGUUUCCACUCAACAUUCGCAGUACCCUCCUCUACCUGCAUCAGAAAGGUUAUUGCGGUAAAAACCAUAUAUCAGGUCCUCUCCAAAGAGCCACAUUCACUUGGAAGCAGAAUGCUCUACCCCUCUAUGUUCCCAAGUCCAAAAUAUUGAUGCUAGCAUCUAUCCCAAGUUCCCAACGCUGUAAGUUUCUUUCUUUUGGAUGUUUCCUCAAGUUGAAGGAUCAUAUAAAUCACUAAUCCAUUGUUUAAUAAAUAACAGAUAUCAAAUGCUAUAGUGUGCAAACUGGAGCUAUUAUUAUUUGUUGAAGUAGAAUCAUAAUUUUUAGCCAGCGUAGUAGCUCUUGCUUUCGUCACUCUUCAGGAUAAGACCUUGCUAAUCAGUAUCUGAGAGUGGAAUUCGAAAAGGAAUAUGAAUGUUCCACGGCAAAAUAAAUGAAGAUUGAUCUGGAAUUACACCAUUCUGUCAUGUCAGAUAGAAGGAUAUAGAGAGAGGUGUGAUCCUUACAUCUCCUGAAUGCAUGAUCCUUUCACAUUUUAGCCGUUGAGCCCACUUCCUAUGAUCCGCCACAUCAUCACUGUAUGGUGGUAACUAGUGAGAUAAGCUUUGAUGCCCAAUAAUAUAUAAAUAUGGUAACUGCAUGAAGAAACAGAACGCUUGUGUAUGGUUGAGGUCCAAAACAUACAUGUGGGUCAGGAACAUGUAGCGCACUCCACCAAGCCUUUCAAUGUUAUCUGCUAAUUUUGGAGUAUACCUUGGGCUAAAAGAAAAAACAAAAUAUUAGAGCAUCUACAUCGCAGGGUUCUGUUUUGGAAGUGCAUGGCUGCGUAAUCAUCAAAGGGAAGUUUACCUGUCAAUCAGUAUGUUUCCCUGUGGAUGAGUUACCAGAUAAGAUGUUGCCCCAAAAGAGUGUUCAGAAUGGUAACCACAAAGGUAAACACCCUGAGAAUCAAAUGUUUGGCAAUGUGAAUGCACAGCACAGCAAUUUCUUAGGAGCAUGCAAGAAAAUAUUGGCAAAUAGUCUUUGUACUCUAACUGUAAAGGCUACAUCUUAGAUUUGAAAGAGCAAAUUGGCAUAGCUAUAUUAUAUCUGCAAUGAAUGAGAAAGGCCAUCAUCAGUAGAAAGAAAUGGGGAUUGCUAGGAUGCGUACUGGAAGUAGACUCUCGUCGAGAGGAAGAGGAAACAUGUUUUGCACUUGAAGAAUGUCUUUAGGAGGUUUGUGUGUGUGGAUUGAGGAUGUUGGGCAGGAGAGCAAAGCCUGCAGGGCCUUGGUCUUGUCCUCCUGGGAGCUGGGCUGCGCCGCAACGGCGGCCUUGCCAUCCACCCUCUUGAACACCUCCGGCGCCAUCCAUCGGCAGGUCUGGCAGUCGAUGCACCGGUGGUCUGCGCCAAAGCACGAGCGUCAGCAGUCAGGUAAGGAAUUUCUUUUCUUCUUCUAUUACUAUUAUCAAGAGAGAUGAGAGCUCUUUUCUGCUCUGCUCUGCUCACCCACGAAGAACUCCCCGGGCACGUUCUGCGGCCGCCGCCGCCGGUCCAGCGCCGGGGGGGAGGCGGUUGCGCGAAACGGCACGACGCGUCGACGGGGAAGCGGCGGCGCGGUGGGCGUGGCGGCGCCAAGGCUCAGCGCCAUGAGAACAACUCUGCGGUGUGAGUGAGGUGAGCAACUCCGAUUUUUCUUGCGUGCUUCAGUUAGUUGCACGACACAUGGGAGCGACCAUCGUCGCUAUCAUAUAAGAAAGACCCUAGCUUCGCUAGUCAAUACGACAACACACAAGAGUCAUGGUUCUGGAUGAUGAACAUGUAGUGACCUUUUUUUCUUUUUCCUUUUUUUUACAAAAAAAGGUGUAGUGACUUGGAUGGCAAGUCUAAGUUUGUGGGAGGCCAUGGAACCCAAAACAAACAAGGAACAUGUGGAGUAGAGCAUCGGGUUACGUACAAGGCUCUGCAUCUACAGUACAUCCAUCCUCCCUUGCAUUUGCAUGCCUACAACAAAACAGAAUAUCAUGGAAAAUCCCAUGUACGCCUGCACAAAAACCCUACUUCAUCACCGGCCCAUGUCCUUCAUUGUUUGUUCUGCAGGAAUGCCAGGGCCUGCUGCGAUCUCAUCUCGGCCUGUGCUUGCGCUUGCGCUUGCGCUUGCACCUGCGGCUCCCCCGCUUUCUUCAGCGACCUGUACUGCAGCCGUAUGCUUUCUCCACUAUCAACUGCCUUCACAAGGUACCUGCACAGACUCCUUCGCUUGUGCCACUAAGCAAAACUUCUGACCCAAACAAUCCUAAAACCGAAAAAACGAAUCAAGAGUGCCUACUAACCAGCCAUUCAGGCACUGCGAUGUGAUCACUGCCUCCUUCCCAACAAAUUUAUCAGGCGUCCUUUUGUUUCCCUGCACCAUCAAAGAGUCCGCCUCUCAGCAAAAUGGUUCUGCAUUAGCUCACUUCUUCAUGGUAACUGUCACCAACAAUGUACCAUGAUCAGGACUCUGUCGCCCACCGUAAACGGGUACUGCACCCCCUUGAAUGCUCUGGAGUUUUCAGCAUCUAACCCCACCUCACUAUUCUCCUGCUAAAUGCUGAAAGAAUAAGCUAUCUCAAAAUUAUACUACUUACACGAGGCAUGUUCAAACCAUUGUGUACCUUGCUACUUCCGUUUCGUGCAUCCAUAAGCUCAGUCACUUCUUUCCUGCGCUUCCGAAGGGCGGCAUUAUGAAACAGCCUUCUAUCGUCUUCCAUCUUGACCACUGUAGCUACCGCUCUUAGAGCUAACACCCAAUACUGCCAACUGUAAGUGAGCAAACAGAAUAUGUCCAAUGCCAGAUUCAUGUUACAAAAUAAGGAUUGAGACAUACCAAGGUUAGGGAAUAAGGAGGCAGCAUCAACUUCUUCAUUGCAAAUGCUGCACCUUGCCUAAUUAGAUAAAAGUAAAAAAAAAAUGGAGAAAGGGAAACAUGAACUGGGAUGUUUACUCUAACCCAAAAUACCAGAAACCAUAUCCAGUUUCUUAUGACAAAUGUCACUUCAGAUCAUAAUGACUGCCUCAGUUGAAUUAACAAAAAUAUGCCAGUGCAGAGAAUUUUGCUUGUAAGGGAUUGCCGUACUAACUACUAAGCUGCAGAGCACAACAGAUUGAUGUUCCUUUAGACAAAAACAUAUUCAGAUUCAGGGUAACAAUUGAUUUCCAUGGUAUCUAAGAGAAUAAAUACCUAAAGUAAAGCAUAUAACUUUAUUCUUGAUGUCACAAACUUACAAGUUUGAGAACUGUCACACACACAAAAAAAAUGAAGUAUCAGAAUAUACCAUUUCAAGAACUUUCUUCAGCAUGAGGCCACCAAAAGAGUGUCCACAUGAGAGAACCAUAGCAUCUUCAAGAAAAGCCCCACUGGAAAAAAUAAAGAGAGAGAAGAUUAUUCUAUCAUUAUAUUCAUCAUUUCUAAGUCAAGCAAUUUGAUGAUGUGUCACAACUUGAACUUUGCACAUGUGCACUUUGAGCAAUUUUGUAUUGAUCCAGAAUGACUAAAGCGGUCUUUCUUUACUCUGUAUGUGUCGAGAUAAAAAUGUAGAACAGGCAACAGCAUAAGUUGAAGGAUCCAUGCAGGAAAACAGAAACUAUAUGCAGGCUAUUUAUCUUAGGAUGAAGUGUAACAUUCGACAAAGAAGAGCUUACGACAAAGGAUCUGAGAGUACACUUCUGAGGGAUGGUUCAUUAACAAAGUUCCCCUGUGAUUCCUGCAUCCCAAGUUGGCAAAAUAUGAGUAACUUAGGAGUUUUUAGGCUACCGAUGAAUAAUAUCUGCAGCACAUCUGUUUUCCAAUGGAGCAUUUUUCUACUCUUAAAGAGAGCCAAGGGGUGUGCUGGCUCUCAUCAUCUCAUGAAUCACUGUAAAUGAAUGCACUGCAAGAUCACAUGCAUGUGAUGAAAUUUAUGCAGCUUUAGAUGUAUACUCACACAAGGUGCUUCUGAGUGAUGGGAAACAAUAUGCUCUUCCGCACGCAAAUCAUCCAUAAAUUGGCAUGCGGAUAUGGGCUGGUAGAUCUGUGGUAUGCAAUGUCCAGCAGCUGAAAUUGGAGAGCAGUCCAAUAUAGCAUCGGCACGAGGCAUCAGCCUAAACAUGAGUGAUGCCCUGGAGGAGAACAGAGAAAGAAAAUAAAUGAGAUGUCAGUGGAGAACUUUAAUCCUUAUAGCAGUCUGCAUGAUUCUCACCUGUUUUCGCUGUUAGUGGUCCUGUACUGAGAAUUUAGCUGUAUACCGGCAGUAACGUGACUCAAGGCUCUUCCAGUCAAAAGCAAUAGGUCAUUAGGGCCUGAGACCCCAUCUGCCAGGUACCAAUGACCAUUUGGGUUGCAAACCUACAAAGGAAUAUAAACAAUAGGAAUUGACAGAUGAAAAGGCACUGAUGACAAAUCAUAACAACAAAGUAAAUCAAAUAUAAACCAGGAAAGAAAACAUUAACUAACUUAGCUAAACAUGAGGAGGAUACAGAACAGCAGUGCAAUUCAUUAAAAACUAAAACUAGCGCGGGGGGAAGAACCUGAGCCACAAACAUUGCUAUUUUGUGCCAUUCAAGAUAAAUAAAGUUUCCAAAAGAGUAACAGGAUGAGCAGGUUGAAACCUCAAUUCCUGGAUGGUCAGAAGCAACCAGUGUAACAAAACCCCUAUCUACUUGAGGCAUUGAUGACCUGAGGCCCACUAUAGGUGGCUGGCCACUUUGGAGGUGUCCAUGAGAAGAUGACACCAGCAAUUCUGAGGCUGAAACCUCAUUAAGAGGCAACGGAUUGUCAUCAAGCAAACGGCUGAAAGCACUGGAAAGCAAAGAAGAACAAUUAGUAAGUAGGAAAAAGAAAUGUAAACACGAUGCCAUGAUAGAAAGAAAAAAGUAAGCUAGGAAGAAAGGACAAGUACAUUACUCUGAACGUAGGCGAAGGUUGCGUGCUAUUGCACAGAGAGCAGCACGGGCUGCCUUACCCAGACAUCUGAAAGCAUCGACCAUGCAAGCAGGCGACAACUCUCCAUCAUCCAGAGCCCUGUAAUGUAGAGUAGAUUAAUGUAAUUAGCAAUUAGCGUACUGCAAACUAGAGGAGAAAUGUGAAAGAAAAAACUGAUGAAAACAUGGCAUUGAUAGAGGCAUACGUAUUGCGAGGCGAUUAUUUCACAUAUUUUGUAUUGAGAAAAAUCCUAUGUUAUUAUGCAUAUACAAGAGUUUCUGAAAGUUCUGAAAUUUUGAAGAGAGGGAUAGGUAUCCCAUAACAAGUGCACAACGGCACUCACUGUGCAGUAAGCAAUAGUUGGAUACGAAUGGGAUGCCUUUCAUUAUUAUAUACAGAAAGCUAGUUGGACAUGAAGCAGCACAAUAUAUGAUACCUCCCGGCGCGGUAGACAUAGAGACCGGGGCGGGCGUGGAAAAAUGCGCGCGCAGACUCGAGGCCGCAGCGGACGAUAGCGGCGUCAGGUGCGGGGAGCUCGAGAGCGGCGGCGCCGUGGCGCGUGAGGGAUUCGGCGAUGGCGUCGACGGCGGUGGCGUAGGCUCGGGUGGAGGCGCCGUCGAAGGGCGCCAAAUCGUCGAGGCGCACCCUGGCGAGGGGGAUCCUAUUCCUAGCGGGUGCGGGGGAUGGAGGAGAGAAGGUCGACAUGGGUCAUGGUGAGGCACCAGCACCAGGGAAGGAAGGAGGCUAGGGUUCCGCCGGAGGGGGCUCGCCGGAACGGCGCAAUCGCCGCCGCCGCCGCCGCUGCUUUUCUGCUGUGAAAUACUAGCUCGGCCCAGCCCAGGUAACUUUUCUGGUGUGCGCACGCGCAGUGAAUGAAAUACUAGCUCGGCCCAGCCCAGGUAACUUUUCUGCUGUGCAUAUGUAACGGAAUAGGGGGAUUAGGGAGACGGAGACUAAUUUGCUUGCUUUGUAAGAAUAAUAAUAUGUUUGAGUUUCAUAAGAACUAUUCAAAGAUUGAUAAGUGUCAUCUUAUUUUGGAUAAGAAAUCCAAUGGCCUCUCCUUUGCUACUCGUGAAGUGAAGGGUUGUCUUCUUCACUGGCUACUCUGUUGUGCUCUACAGGGGCUCUUUUGUCCUUUGUUUGAGCUUUGGCUUUACUUUAUUUUAGAAUACACAGGGUGCAAUUGGUGGCAGGGACGGAGACAGCCGGGGUAUGGCUCUUGCUGGUGAAUCGGUCACGGGUUACAGGUCCAAGGACCGUACGAUUCGGAAGAAUCCCAAAUCUACCGGGAUCCCUCCAGACGCGGAUAUAUGGAGCUCUCUCCCUUCCUUCCUCCUUCCCCUCCUCUCUCCCUCUCCACUCGAAAGUCCCAGAAGGUAAGGACGCAUACUCAGGGAAGGUACGCACAGGAUGCUGGAGGAUUCCUGAGAGGGUCGAAGGUCCCUAUCCCAGAAACGAUUGGCGAGAUGGAUGGAACCCCACCAUCAGCAUCCACAAGGCCUACAGGUUCGGUUGGCCCAGGCGUACGUCAGCCCUAAGGAUGGGUUUGUUGAAUCAACCCCACCUCCAAUACUGAAGGUUCCUGUACAAGGCCGUCACGUUUGCCUUGAGUAUGGAAACCUUCUGUACCACGGAGAGUGAAGGUAUAAGACCAGAGUACCCCUAAAAGGUACGUCAUGGAUGGGAGGGGCCGUACUGGGGUAGAAGAGUUUUCUAUCCGAAAAGGUUCGGUUUCUCGAGGCUAUAAAUGGGCGAGCCUUGACUCGUCUAAGACACAACAUUCUAGCCACUCAGUCCUCUAGAAGUUCUUUGGAUAAGUGUCGUGUCCUAGAGCUACUCUCUCUACUGUUUAAGCAUUUUGUAACUAGCAGCAGCCCCCUCCUCACUCAAAAAAAAAAAGUGAAGUGACACUAAUACACGUACCGUAUCCAAUAAAGCAGUACAUGAAGAAACCAGAUCAGGAUUGCGUCGCAAACAGAGCUAACGCAGUCACGAGAAAAAAGCCCUAAAAAUGGUUGGAGCCCUUUCACCCAGGAUAUCACUUCAUCUUUCCUGAUCGUAAACGCGCUUAUGGAUCCAGAAAGGGCGGUAGCAGCCCCAAUGAAAACCAACCUUCUUCAACGUAUUUCCCUGAAUCGAUAUGGACCAUCACCGCUGCUGCGGCGGCACCUAUAAACACCGUCAUGACAUUCACCAUAGAUGCCCUGGCGCUCUCAUCCGGUACCCACCUUCCUGCGGCGGCGAGUGGGCCUGGCGUAAAACGCCGGCGCUUCCUCGGUGACGAUCUUGUCGCUGAUGGAGACGAUGGCAUGGCUUCUGGUGGCGUUGCUGCGACGGGUGGAGCUACGAGUAUGCUCGGACGAAACGAUGAAGCCGUCCCCCGACUUCGUGCCGGAUGCUCCAGCUGUGGCAGUGUCAGUGACGGACCCAGACCACCGUCUUCCCUUUGUCGUCGGCCGAUGCCAUGCCGGGGAUGGCCCCGGCGCUAGUUGCUUCUUCGGCGGCGCCCGUCUUGUUGUCACAUCGGUGGCAUGGUCGGCCUCGUCCCCGGCCCCGGACACGGGUGGCUUCUUGGCUGUCGCGCACUGCCGAGGUGGGGCUGGGCCCGUCGGGUGCUGCAGCUAUGGUUGCCGGCGAUGCCGAGGAGGGGGAUGGGCCCACCAUACGCUGCGGCUACGGCCGCCGAUGCUGCCGCCGUGGGGAUGACCCCGGCUCCGACCUUAGCUUCCAUCAUCGUGGUGGUUUCAGGGACAGGGAGCUCCAUUGGAACCAAAGGAGGAGAAGGAUGAGAAAAUAGUAAAAGCAAGAAGAAAAAGAGGAAGAAGGGGUGAAAAUAGAAGAGGAAGCACCAAGACUAGUUACCCCUAAUCGGAACUUUAUAGGAAAGACCCUCCGUGGUGCUUUAACGAAUUAGAAACCAUUAUUUUAACAAAAAGUUGAUAGCAUGCAUCAUAAAUUUUAUCAACAUUAUUUGAUAAGUUCACCAUUAUUUUAAAAUGCAAAUCUCAUGUAGUGAAAGAAACCAAAUACAAAUACCUCGACAACAUGCUGCGUUAUCCGGGAGUGAGCGAGACGAAAUUCACCAAAGCAAAACCCGUCUGAUGGCACGCCAUGCAAUGCUAUCCGGAGCCUCAUGGCGUGCCAAUAGCAGCAAUGCCCACAAUUUUUGUUUCCAAACACAAAAAUGCCAGCAGGUUGUCCAUCCGGUUACGCAGAUAUCUUUGCAAAAGUACUAUCGAUACCAUGUGACACAAGAUGUAUAGCCUGCAUUCUGAGUUCACCAAAUCAUACGUCUUUAUCUAGCUAUAUAUUGUGAGGUGCCUCUGUCAUCUUUUGUGUAUGUAGAUACGAUCAAAAUGUUCCCGUAGGUUCUCCUGAGCCUGUGGAGGCUAGAGAUAUGGAUGCUGCAGAGGAGAGCAAGAUCAUUCUCAAGUACGUUCCCUGUUACUGCUGCUUGAAACAAACGCCCGAGCGUUAUUGUUACGACACCUGGGACGAAUGCCAAUCCCAAUCGUCCGCCUGCACCUACUAUUCUUCUGUGAUCCUCUUUUCUUUUUAAUGCACAGCAAUCUGGUGCACAAUUUGUAUAGAAUGCAUGCCUCUUCUAUGAAUUCCUGCUGUCAAUGAUUUGGAUGUCAUACUCAUACAUACACUAGCACUACAUAAAUGUUCAAUUUCCAGGGAGUUUGUCCUACAAGCAAAACAAUGCUGCUGAUACGAGGUCCAUGUUUGCAAACAAGAAUUAUUGUUGAACUUUCAACACACGAGCUGCACUGAAUAUAAUGCUAGCUGGUAUAUAUGAAAGGGAAUAAAAGCGAGCUACGGGAGUUGAUCCUGAAAGGAACACUUUCAAUUUUCUCAAAAUGACAUGUCAAGCUCCUGAGCCAGAAGAUGUAUAGCCUGCAUUCUGAAUUUACCAAACUUUGAAUGUAAAAAGGAAUUGAAACAAACUACGGGCAUGCCCUCAUGAGAAGCAUUUGUUGUCAUAAUUCAUUCAGCAUGCAUGACUCAAGUGAUAGAAAAUGCAAAUCUCAUGUGAAAGAAAACCAUUUCGAGCGAUAACAGAUGACCUACUCCUUGCAGGACGUUCCUGGCGGCUAGGCUUUCUUGUCAGCAAGCACCAAUUGGAACUGAGCCUCAACCUUCACCCACUCCUCUUUGGCGUCACCCUUGACAGCCUUCCUCAUGGCCGUGAGGACCUCCUUUGCCUGUUUGGCCUUCCUGCUCUUGAGCAAGCCCUGAACCAAACCUUUGACAGCUUGGAAUGGUGGUGCCCAUUUGUUGCGCAGGCACUCCUUGCAGACCUCCAAUGCAGGAUCAAACACACUCUUGUUGACGAGGGCCUCAAGCAGCAUAAUGUAGGUCUCAAAGUUGGGGAAGACCCCUCUGCCAUUCUGCCUGGGCACCUCUCGCAUCUCUCUGAAGAGCGCCAUGGCAGCACCCACUUCCCCCUCGUUGCAGAGGCCCUUGAUGACCGUGUUGAAGAUGGCGCGGUUGGGCGGGACGCCCUUUGCCCCCAUGGCGUCCAGCAGCUCUUGGGCUUCAAAGCUCCUCCCUCUUGCGCAGAGCAGGGCCAUCCGGAGGUUGUAGGUCCCGACGUUGGGCUUGAGGUGCCGCUUGGUGAUCUCCUUAAGCAGUUGGUCGAAGGCAGCGUCGUCGCCGGCGUUGAGGUAGCCCUUGAGGAUCUCGUUGCAGGAGAUGAUGUCCGGCUGGACGCCAGCCCUGUCGGGCAUUUCGUCGAACACCUUGCGGGCGGCGGUGAGGUCCCCGCUGGCAACGAGGGUCUUGAGGAGGACGUUGUGGGAGACGAUGCCCGGCUUGAUGGCGAGGUCGGCGGGUAGGGUGUUGAAGGCCUCGACGACGCGGUCGUAGAGGCGGUUGUCGUGGUAGGCGGAGAGGAGCGCGGAGAGCGCGCGUUCGGAGGGGGGCUUUACGAGGCGGAAGGCGGUGAGGGAGUGGUCGGGCAUGCCGGCGGCGGAGUAGAGGCAGAUGAGGCGGAUGAGGAAGCCCUCGGAGGGGUGGGGGCUGGGGAGGGCGGUGAGGGAGGAUGAGAGGAUGGAGGCGACGAGGUCGCGGCGGCCGGCGGAGGCGAGGCGGUGGACGGAGAGCGCGAAGAGGGGGCGGUCGGCGAGGAAGGCGGGGUGGGGGAGGCCCGAGAGGAAGAGGGCGGCGAGGGCGUCCGGUUUGGUGGCGGCGUCGCGGAUGGAGGACUUGAGGCGGGAGAGGUCUGCGGGUGUGGUAGGCGUGGGAGGGGGCGGGGCUUGGAGUUGGGUCUGGGAGGAGAGGAGGCGGAUGAGGAGGUGGCGGCGGCAGAGCAAAGAGGGGCUCCGGCGGCAGAGGGCGGCGGCGGCGGCGGCCAUGGUUUCGUUUGGUCGGCGUGCGGGGCGGGGAGAAGGGGAAGUCCCGGGGGAAGGAAGAAGGGUUGCGAGCCCAGUAACGGCCCAGAAUAAGCUAAUUACUCAAACAGCAUGCUUACUACCAAGUGCUAAUUACGCAUUUGGACUUUGAAACAAAAUCUCUGCCGUUCGUUUCCAUGCGAAACAGCAUUUGGACUUUGAAACAAAAUGAAACAUGGUUCAUCACUUGUAGAUCCACUCGUUGGCUCUUCCUCCCGUCUGGUCCAUGUCGAUGAAGAUGCUGACGGCCUUGCCGAUGCGCGGCCUCUCCUUGAGCUUCUCCAGGGUGUUGCGGACGUGCGCCACGGCGCCCCAGCACCGCAGCGUGUUGGCCACCUCGUCCAGCCGCAGCAGGUACUCCUCCUCGCUCAGCGGGAACGACCUCUGCUCCCUGUACUUCCACAUCACAUUCAUCGCAAGCAGAUUCCUCCCCAUGAACUCCUGCAUUCUUCAUAUUGUUUAUUGCUGCGGUGUACCACACAAUCCGAUCAAAAGCUAACAAUUUCAUUCACUCACCUUCUUUAUCAACGUCACAUCGUAGGAUCUUCCGUACUUCUUCCUGAUGAGGUUUGCAAGGUCCAACCCGUUGAACUUGUCGUCCUCGUCAGGCCCGACCAGGCGCUCCAGAUCCUCUCGGGAGCUGCUGCUGCUGCUGCUUUGCGGCACCUCAUUGUCACCUCCUCCUCCUUCUUCAUCAUCAUCGUCUUGGCCGCCGCUUGACGAUUCACCGCCUCUGCCGUCACCGGCCGCUCUGAUAACUGCAAACCUCCUUGUGUGGGGGUGGUGGAUGCUGCUGCUGCAUCUACCACCUGAAGAAGAACAAGGAGAAGAAGCUGGCAGGCACUGCACCUUAUUGGAGCCCUUGCUGUUGAUGAAUAAUCUCCCUCUCAGGCUCAGGCUCAGAGAGGCAUCCUGAAGGGGCAGCUGCAGGUUUUGGGGAUGGCUAGCCACAACAUUCAUCAUGGACCGCAAGCUUCCCCUCGGUUCUGUUCUGCAAAGAUAUAUUGUUGGGAAACCUCAAACAAAUGAGUGAGUAUGAGUUCAAUUCUCAUUAAUUUCUGCUUUUCUUUUUGCUGCUUAGCAUAAUCCAGCACACAAACAUGGUAAGGAAGCACAAUCCUUGUAGUGAAUCAAGCAUAAUAGGCCGGGGUCGACGACAACUUACCCAAGGGAAGGGAAGAAGGAAGGAAUCUGAAGGAUCGAUGACCCCGAGCUGAGCUGGCUAUGCUUUGCUAGCAAGGAAGGGAGCUCCCUUUCUCCUGCUUUGCUAGCAGGAGGAACAAGAGGAGCAGGUGACCACGAACCGAGGGAGCGGCCGGAGAGAGAAGAGAGUCUUUAUCAGUUGUGUGGCUGCAAGGAGAUGCAACACCAGGACCAUGUCUUUUUAUUUGUUCCGUUUUUCACUCUCUUUACAACUUGGUGCUCUGCUCUAUUGAGAUUUUUUUAAAUUGACAAGCCUUUUGAUAAUUGAAAAUUGGCUCCCUGAAUUUUUCUCCAAUUAACACGCUUCGCCGAAAAGAUGCACAGGAAUUUCCACUAGAUGAUGAUCCCGCACAGACCGAAAUUCCUUUCACUCGUCCUUCAAGUACCUUACAAGAAACGUGGGCUCGUCCAGAAAGAGAAACGUGGACGUAUCCCACCACUACCAUUCACUUCCAAACAGGCAUCGUCGCCCAUCAGUUGGCUCUAAACGACACAAACCCAGCAAGCACUCUGUCAGUUACCUCCACGCAAACGCAAAACUUCGAUGCACAAGUGUUUUACAACUUUACAAACAUCACAUGAUACUAGCAGUGUUUUACAUGCCACUCCUACGUACAUACAUGAUACACCUUCACGCAACACACCACUGUGUAUGUGUGUGUAUCUCAUUCAUCGAUGCAGGUCCUAGCUUGGACUUCUAGUUGAAGACUGAAGGAUUGGUCGUCGCGC
rnacentral:lncRNA from 1 species